AUGCGUGACCUGAAGAUGAAAGCGUUGAGCAUCUCGAAGUUGAUCAACAAUCUUCAAUUGUCAAAGAUUAGCCAUUCGGCCAAUAAGGUGGCACACUUAAUCGCUAAGUAUAGCUUUGACAAUAGAUUAGAUGGUAUUCUUGUAAAUAACGUACCGCCAUGUGUGGUGAAUAUUGUAUCGAACGAGUGUACUGGUGUGGCUGGUUAAUUAAUAUAAGGUGGUGUUUAAAAAAAGUAUAUAUUUGGUCAAACACUUUGCAAACGGUUGACGGGAGUAAAAAGGACCAGAGGGAGUAUCAUGCAUGCGGAGUAGGCAAAAAAAUUGCUCAUUUUUAGUCGGUCGAAGUCUCAAAGGGCGCGACCGCGCGAGGGAGGCGAAGGUCGUGGGAGGCGCGACGGUUGAAGGAAUUAAGUGAAGAUACAUCCAUGCGCCGGCAUGGCAUGCGAACAGGCAGAAGCUAUAUCGUCAGGCCUACGAUAUGGGUCUAGUAGACAUGACAUCUAGUGGGUCCCGCAUAGUUCUCGAGAACUCUUUGGGGGCUUGCAGCCAUUUAUCCAUCGGGCAAGCAAGCAACCCCACGCCGUUCGCAUGCCCUACUCGUCCCCGUCUUAUACCUCACAACAGUUCGCUCCCAGUCAUCCCGUCCUUUCACAUUAGUUCGCUCCUAGUUUUUGCGGGGUACAACAGUUCAACUUCUCCUAACCCUCCUCCAAAAUCCAUGGCCUCCCAAAUCUCCAUGGUCACCGCUGAGUACCAUGUUAGAGCCAUCACCGGCGAUCAGUUCAUCGUCAUCUACACACGUGGAUCCGUGACGGUGAAAGCAUGGCUUGCUCGCUUCCUACGCAUGUUCAACAGUUCAACGGAUGAGUGGGUUGCUGGGCUAGAUGUUGAGUACACCACAGUCCUGGGAUGAGAGAAGGAUCUAAAGCACGAAGAGAGGAAGAAGCCCGCCGUGAUCCAGGUUUGUGUUUGCUUGGUCUACCACAUAUGCCAUGCCGACGUUGAGUGCCGGGAUUUUAAGAACUUCCUCAAGGACAAAAGAGUGAAAUUCAUUACUGUAGGCUUUAAGAACGACAAAGAAGUCCUGCGUUGGAUAGGUCUCGUUGUAGGCCAGGCCUUCGAUCUCUAGAAGGCAAGCCUGGUGUCCUCCUCUCAACCUUCAAUGCUGACCCUGGUAGCAGCCAUGAUUGAUCCUUCGUAUGCUAAACUGAAGAAACCUCAUCACGAGUUUCAUCAUGCAUGGGAGUCGAAGACAUUAGAUGAAGAUCACAUCAUGUAUGCAGCAAUGGAUGCCUACCUUUGUUUAAAUAUCUACAUGGGUUGGAUGAAGAAGCAGAGCCCAGUGUCCAAUUCAAGCAAAGAAGCGUCGGCGAAGAGGAAGAGGAAGAGGGACGAGGACGAAGUCAAGGACGUGGACUCGGACUCCGAGUAGGUGGCAGCGUCGUUGCUCAUGCUGGUUCUACUACAGUGUCAAGCUGACUAGUUGCUUAGUUUAUUUUCAAGGGUGUGUUGUGCUGAGGCCCCAGCAGAACUAUGUUUAUGUUCUUUCUCGUUAUUUGAAUUGUUUAGUACAUAUAGUAGUACUAGUACUAUGUCUUACUACUAUUCUUCUUGCAGUUGGUACUAUUGCUCGUACCUUCGUGUUGCCACUGUACUUAAUACGUUCGUACUAGUAGUAUAAUUUGGGUCAGUCGGUUUGUGAAAGAAGUUCGAUGGAGCGAAGGAAGAAGACGGCAGAAGAGGUGGAAGAAGCCCUUCUAGCCAUCCAUGUUGCAUCAAACGGCUCACAUGAGUCGACUGACCCAAAUUGCUCCUUCAGAUUGCAGGAUCCACGUGGCAUUCAAGGUCUCGAAGGUAGAUUCUGCAUCCGCACCCGGUUUGCGGGCUCGACGCGCGCGCGACCGGCUUCCGCUGCAACAACCACCAAGCGCGCCUCCUCCGCGUGGGCGGAGACGACAAUGACACGCUAGUUCCUCCUCGUCGGCGUGCUGGAGCACGCGCUCGUCCUCCUCUUCAUACGUUGCGUGCAUAGACGCGGCUCCACCAGCUGCUCGCGUGCUUGGCAGCGCGGCGGCAUGGCGAGGAGGGACUGCGGACGACGUGAGCUGGCGAGCCUUCGGCUUCAUGGCACAGGGAUGGCGGCGACACGGCGGUGAUGGGCGAGAAAUUGUUGGCCGGAGCAGGCGGGCGCCGGCAUGCGCAACGGCGGCGGCAAGUAUUUUCAAUGCUGAAGCCGGCAGAGGUAGAAAUCAAGAAAGAACAUCAAGUGUUGAUGGUCAAUAAAACCACCAAGUUCAAGAAGGGCAAGGGUAAGAAGAACUUCAAAAAGGACGGCAAGGAUGUUGCCGCACCUGGUAAGCCAGUUGCCGGGAAGAAGUUAAAGAAUGGACCCAAGCCUGAGACUGGGUGCUUUUAUUGCAAAGGGAAGGGUCACUGGAAGCGGAACUGCCCCAAAUACUUAGCGGACAAGAAGGCCGGCAACACUAAAGGUAUAUGUGAUAUACAUGUAACUGAUGUGUACCUUACCAGUAAUCGUAGUAACUCCUAGGUAUUUGAUACCGGUGCCGUUACUCAUAUUUGUAACUCACAGCAGGAGCUGCGGAAUAAGCGGAGACUGGCGAAGGACGAGGUCACGAUGCACAUCGGGAAUGGUUCCAAGGUCGGUGUGAUCGCCGUCGGCACGCUGCCUCUACAUUUACCCACGGGAUUAGUUUUAAACCUCAAUAAUUAUUAUUUAGUGCCAAGUUUGAGCAUGAACAUUGUAUCUGGAUCUCGUUAAUACAAGAUGGCUACUCAUUUAAAUCCGAGAAUAAUGGUUUUUCUAUUUAUAUGAGAGAUAUGUUUUAUGGUCAUGCCCCGAUGGUCAAUGGUUUAUUCUUAAUGAAUCUCGAACGUAAUGUUACACAUAUUCAUAGUGUGAAUACCAAAAGAUGUAAAGUUGAUAACGAUAGUCCCACAUACUUGUGGCACUGCCGCCUUGGUCACAUUGGUGUCAAGCGCAUGAAGAAGCUCCAUGCUGAUGGACUUUUAGAGUCUCUCGAUUAUGAAUCAUUUGACACAUGCGAACCAUGCCUCAUGGGCAAAAUGACCAAGACUCCAUUCUCCGGAACAAUGGAGCGAGCAACCAACUUAUUGGAAAUCAUACAUACUGAUCUGUGUGGUCCAAUGAGAGUUGAGGCUCGCUGAGGAUAUCGUUAUGUUCUCACUCUCACUGAUGACUUGAGUAGAUAUGGGUAUGUCUACUUGAUGAAACACAAGUCUAAGACCUUUGAAAAGUUCAAGGAAUUUCAGAAUGAGGUAGAGAAUCAACGUGACCGAAAGAUAAAGUUCUUACGAUCAGAUCAUGGAGGAGAAUAUUUAAGUCACGAAUUUGGUACGCACUUAAUAAAAUGUGGAAUCGUUUCACAACUCACGCCGCCUGGAACACCUCAGCGUAACGGUGUGUCUGAACGCCGUAAUCGCACUCUAUUGGAUAUGGUGCGGUCUAUGAUGUCUCUUAUCGAUUUACCGCUAUCAUUUUGGGGAUACGCUCUAGAGACAGCUACAUUCACUUUAAAUAGGGCUCCGUCUAAAUCCGUUGAGACGACACCGUAUGAAUUAUGGUUUGGGAAGAAACCUAAGCUGUCGUUUCUAAAAGUUUGGCGAUACGAUGCUUAUGUCAAGAAACUUCAACCUGAAAAGCUCGAACCCAAGUCGGAAAAAUGCGUCUUCAUAGGAUACCCUAAGGAAACCAUUGGGUAUACCUUCUACUUAAGAUCUGAGGGCAAGAUCUUUGUUGCCAAGAACGGAUCCUUUCUGGAAAAAGAGUUUCUCUCGAAAGGAGUAAGUGGGAGGAAAGUAGAACUCGAUGAAGUACUACCUCUUGAACCGGAAAGUAGUGCAGCUCAAGAAAAUGUUCCUGUGGUGCCUACACCAACUGGAGAGGAAAUUAAUGAUGAUGAUCAAGGUACUUCAGAUCAAGUUGCUACGGAACUUCGUAGGUCCACAAGGACACGUUCCACACCAGAGUGGUAUGGCAACCUUGUCCUAGAAAUCAUGUUGUUAAACAACGGUGAACCUUCGAACUAUGAAGAAGCGAUGGCGUGCCCAGAUUCCAACAAAUGGCUUGAAGCCAUGCAAUCUGAGAUAGAAUCCAUGUAUGAAAACAAAGUAUGGACUUUGACAGACUUGCCCGAUGAUCGGCGAGCAAUAGAAAACAAAUGGAUCUUUAAGAAGAAGACGGACGCGGAUGGUAAUAUUACCAUCUAUAAAGCUCAACUUGUCGCUAAGGGUUAUCGGCAAGUUCAAGGGGUUGACUACCAUGAGACAUUCUCUCCUGUAGCAAAGCUGAAGUCCGUCCGAAUCAUGUUAGCAAUUGCCGCAUACUAUGAUUAUGAGAUAUGGCAGAUGGACAUCAAAACGGCAUUCCUUAACGGACAUCUUAAGGAAGAACCGUAUAUGAUGCAGCCGGAAGGUUUUGUCGAUCCUAAGAAUGCUAACAAGGUAUGCAAGCUCCAGCGAUCCAUUUAUGGGCUGGUGCAAGCAUCUCGGAGUUGGAACAUUCGCUUUGAUGAGAUGAUCAAAGCGUUUGGGUUUAUGCAGACUUAUGGAGAAGCCUGCGUUUACAAGAAAGUUAGUGGGAGCUCUGUAGCAUUUCUCAUAUUAUAUGUAGAUGACAUACUUUUGAUGGGAAAUGAUAUAGAACUUUUGGACAGCAUUAAGGCCUACUUGAAUAAGUGUUUUUCAAUGAAGGACCUUGUUGAAGCUGCUUACAUAUUAGGCAUCAAGAUCUAUAGGGAUAGAUCGAGACGCCUCAUAGGUCUUUCACAAAGCACAUACCUUGAUAAGAUAUUGAAGAAGUUCAAAAUGGAUCAGUCCAAGAAAGGGUUCUUGCCUAUAUUACAAGGUGUGAGAUUGAGCUCGGCUCAAUGCCCGACCACGGCAGAAGAUAAAGAAGAGAUGAGUGUCAUCCCCUAUGCCUCAGCCAUAGGAUCUAUUAUGUAUGCCAUGCUGUGUACCAGACCUGAUGUAAACCUUGCCGUAAGUUUGGUAGGAAGGUACCAAAGUAAUCCCGGCAAGGAACACUGGACAGCGGUCAAGAAUAUCCUGAAGUACCUGAAAAGGACAAAGGACAUGUUUCUCAUUUAUGGAGGUGACGAAGAGCUCGUCGUAAAGGGUUACGUCGACGCUAGCUUCGACACAGAUCUGGAUGACUCUAAGUCACAAACCGGAUACGUGUAUAUGUUGAAUCGUGGAGCAGUAAGCUGGUGCAGUUGCAAGCAGAGCAUCGUGGCGGGAUCUACAUGUGAAGCGGAGUACAUGGCAGCCUCGAAGGCAGCGCAUGAAGCAAUAUGGAUGAAGGAGUUCAUCACCGACCUAGGAGUCAUACCCAAUGCGUCGGGGCCGAUCACUCUCUUCUGUGACAACACUGGAGCUAUUGCCCUUGCCAAGGAGCCCAGGUUUCACAAGAAGACCAGGCUCAUCAAGCGUUGUUUCAACUCCAUCCGUGAAAAUGUUCGAAGUGGAGACAUAGAUAUUUGCAAAGUACAUACGGAUCUGAAUGUCGCAGAUCCGUUGACUAAACCUCUUCCGCAAGCAAAACAUGAUCAACACCAGAAUUCUAUGGGUGUUCGAUUCAUUACAAUGUAACUAGAUUAUUGACUCUAGUGCAAGUGGGAGACUGUUGGAAAUAUGCCCUAGAGGCAAUAAUAAAAGGAUUAUUAUUAUAUUUCCUUGUUCGUGAUAAUUUUCUUUUAUUCAUGCUAUAAUUGUAUUAUCCGGAAAUUGUAAUACACGUGUGAAUACAUAGACCACAAUAUGUCCCUAGUGAGCCUCUAGUUGACUAGCUCGUUGAUCAACAGAUAGUCAUGGUUUCCUGACUAUGGAUAUUGGAUGUCGUUGAUAAUGGGAUCACAUCAUUGGGAGAAUGACGUGAUGAACAAGACCCAAUCCUAAGCAUAGCACAAGAUCGUGUAGUUCGUUUGCUAGAGCUUUUCCAAUGUCAAGUAUCUUUUCCUUAGACCAUGAGCUCGUGUAACUCCCGGAUACCGUAGGAGUGCUUUGGGUGUAUCAAACGUCACAACGUAAGUGGGUGACUAUAAAGGUGCACUACAGGUAUCUCCGAAAGUGUCUGUUGGGUUGACACGGAUCGAGACUGGGAUUUGUCACUCCGUAUGACGGAGAGGUAUCUCUGGGCCCACUCGGUAAUGCAUCAUCAUAAUGAGCUCAAAGUGACCAAGUGUCUGGUCACGGGAUCAUACAUUACGGUACAAGUAAAGUGACUUGCCGGUAACGAGACGGAAUGAGGUAUUGGUAUACCGACGAUCGAGUCUCGGGCAAGUAACGUACCGAUUGACAAAGAGAAUUGUAUAAGGGGUUGCUUGAAUCCUCGACAUCGUGGUUCAUCCGAUGAGAUCAUCGAGGAGCAUGUGGGAGCCAACAUGGGUAUCCAGAUCCCGCUGAUGGUUAUUGACCAGAGAGCCGUCUCGGUCAUGUCUACGUGUCUCCCGAACCCGUAGGGUCUACACACUUAAGGUUCGGUGACGCUAGGGUUGUAGAGAUAUGAGUAUGCAGCAAACGAAAGUGGUUCGGAGUCCCGGAUGAGAUCCCGGACGUCACGAGGAGUUCCGGAAUGGUCCGGGGGUAAAGAAUUAUAUAUAGGAACUGCAGUUUCGGCCAUCGGGAGAGUUUCGGGGGUCACCGGUAUUGUACCGGGACCAUCGAAAGGGUCCCGGGGGGUCCACCGGGUGGGGCCACCUAUCCCGGAGGGCCCCGUGGGCUGAAGUGGGGAGGGGACCAGCCCCAGGUGGGCUCGUGCGCCCCAUCCCCCUUGGGCCCCCCUGCGCCUAGGGUUGGAAACCCUAGGGUGGGGGGCGCCUCCACUUGCCUUGGGGGCACUCCACCCCCCUUGGCCGCCGCCCCCUUGGGAGAUCCCAUCUCCAGGGCCGGUGCCCCCCAGGGGGCCUAUAUAAAGGAGGGGGGAGGGAGGGCAGCCGCACCUGAAGUCUUGGCGCCUCCCUCUCCCCUUGCUACACCUCCUCCUCCCGUAGUCGCUUGGUGAAGCCCUGCCGGAACUCUGCUGCAUCCACCACCACGCUGUCGUGCUGCUGGAUCUUCAUCAACCUCUCCUUCCCCCUUGCUGGAUCAAGAAGGAGGAGACGUCACGCUGACCGUACGUGUGUUGAACGCGGAGGUGCCGUCCGUUCGGCGCUAGGAUCUCCGGUGAUUUGGAUCACGAUGAGUACGACUCCAUCAACCCCGUUCUCUUGAAUGCUUCCGCUUGCGAUCUACAAGGGUAUGUAGAUGCACUCCCCUCUCUCGUUGCUAGAUGAACUCAUAGAUGGAUCUUGGUGAACGUAGGAAAAUUUUUAUUUUAUGCAACUUUCCCCAACANNNNNNNNNNNNNNNNNNNNNNNNNNNNNNNNNNNNNNNNNNNNNNNNNNNNNNNNNNNNNNNNNNNNNNNNNNNNNNNNNNNNNNNNNNNNNNNNNNNNNNNNNNNNNNNNNNNNNNNNNNNNNNNNNNNNNNNNNNNNNNNNNNNNNNNNNNNNNNNNNNNNNNNNNNNNNNNNNNNNNNNNNNNNNNNNNNNNNNNNNNNNNNNNNNNNNNNNNNNNNNNNNNNNNNNNNNNNNNNNNNNNNNNNNNNNGCACGGGAAAUCCUCGAUGGGCGCCUAGUCGAGUCCCGUGCAUGCUUGCCGUCCUCCUCGGGCGCCCCACCUGGGGCUGCCCCGAGCGUCCCGCCUCGCUCGGCGACCGAUCCUUUUGAGAUCCGCAGCCGCACCCGCUCCCGCACCGCCGCCCUCCGCGCCCAAAGCGCCUCACGUGUCUUGGGGUCAAGCAGCCCCCCGAUGCAUGCGUGAUGCGGACCCUCUUCUGGAACAUCCAAAAUUUCGGCCAAGAUGGCCGGCGCCGCCAACUAAUAGAGUACAUGCGGACCGAACGAAUUGACAUUGUGGCCAUUCAAGAAAUGAUGCGUACGGAAUUUUCCUUGUCGGAGCUCGAGCAUUUGAGCUUCGACCUAUUUGCUUGGCACUGGCUCCCUUCUACUAGUAGUACGGGCCAGUCGGGUGGCAUCCUCCUAGGGGUGAAGGAUGCCACCUUUGAGGUGGGAAGCAUGGACCUGGGCGAGUUCUUCGUUAGCAUGGAGAUUUUCGAACGGGCCCUAAACUUCAAAUGGGAAAUCAUUGCGGUUUAUGGCCCGGCCGACCACCGCCGCUCUGAGGCCUUCCUCACCGAACUCCGUAGGAAGGUGGCGGCCGCCCAGCUACCGGUUGUGGUAGGAGGCAACUUCAACCUCAUCCGGUCGGAAGAAGACAAGAGCAAUAAUUUGGUGAACUUUCCUCGGAUGCAGAUGUUCAAUGACUGCAUCGCUGACAUGGGGCUUUGCAAGCUCGAUCGGGUCGGGGCCAGGUUCACUUGGACAAACUGACAAGUUGAGCCGACUCGCUCCGUCCUUGUCUUCGCCUUCCCUAAGUGGGACAUUCGCUGCCCCCUAGCCUCGCUCUGGGCGAUUACACGGAUUGGUUCAGAUCACAUCCCCCUCCUCCUCUCUUCGGAGAAUGAGCGUCCCCCCUGCCGGCCCGCUUUCGGUUCGAAACUUUCUAGUUGCGGCAGCCGGGAUUUACCGCCGCGGUGGUCGCCUGGUGGCGCGAGGCGCGUGAUGCCCCCCAUCGGUCCCUCUCGGCCGUCGACAACUGGCACUUCUGCGCCAAGCGGUCACCGCAAUUCAUGAAAGAAUGGGCUGCAAACAUAGGCUGGGACAUCUGUGAGCGGAAGAAGGUCCUCCUUGAGGACAUCCAGGCCCUCGACCUGCGUGCUGAUGCUGAAGGCCUUUCUGCCGAUGAAUGGAUGCUUAGGUACGAUCUGGAAGACCAGCUCACGGUCAUCUACACAGACGAGGAGGCAUACUAGCAUUUGUGGGGUACGCGGAAUUGGGUCCUCAAGGGGGAUGCCAAUACCGCUUACUUUGAGGCCAUAGCUAAUGGUCGGCAUCGCCGUAACUCCAUCACCCUUCUUUGGGACGGAGCGACCCUCCUGCAGCGGCCGGAGGACAUGCGGGCUCAUGUAGACAGCUUUUACAUAGACCUAUUCUCUGCCUCCCCUCGGGGAGGUCUUGCCCUUGUGCAAGACAUUUGGCCUGCCCAUAGUUGUGUCUCGCCUGUGGAUAACACGGCCCUCACGGCCCCGUUCUCUGAGGCUGAAGUUUGGGCGGCAAUUAAGGGCAUGAACCCAUCCUCGGCCCCUGGCCCGGAUGGUCUCCAAGUGAAUUUCUUCCACACUUUCUUGGAGGUGAUAAAACCUAAGGUGAUGGCCUUAUUUGACGAGUUCUUUGUUGGAUCCAUCGACCUCGCCCGGCUGAACUUUGCGGUAAUCACCCUCAUCCCCAAAGUGACUGGGGCCUCGGAUAUACGACAAUUCCGACCGAUUAUGGUGAUUAACGUCAUCUUCCGCAUCCUCACGAAGGGGUACACCAUUAGGGUGGCCCCUAUCACCCACCAAAUCACUCACCCUGACCAGUCGGCCUUCAUCCAGGGUCGUUAUAUCCUCGACGGAGUCCUAGUGUUUGAUACGUCUCCAACAUAUCUAUAAUUUUUGAUUGUUCCAUGCUAUUAUAUUAUUUGUUUUGGAUGUUUAAUGGGCUUUAUUAUACACUUUUAUAUUAUUUUUGGGACUAACCUAUUAACCGGAGGCCCAAUCCAAAUUGUUGUUUUUUGCCUAUUACAGUGUUUCGCAGAAAAGGAAUAUCAAACAGAGUCCAAACGGAAUGAAACCUUCGGGAGAGUGAUUUUUGGAACAAACAUGAUCCAGAGGACUUGCAGUCGACGUCAAGAAAGAAGCGAGGAGGCCACAAGGCAGGGAGGCGCGCCUGCCCCCCUGGGCACACCCCCACCCUCGUGGGCCCCUCGCAGCUCCACCAAGCUACUUCUUCCUCCUAUAUAUAUCCAUAUAGUCCAAAAACAUCCAGAAGCACCAUAGAUCAGGAGUUCCGCCGCCGCAAGCCUCCGUAGCGACCAAAAAUCAAUCGGGACCCUGUUCCAGCACCCUACCAGAGGGGGAUCGCUCACCAGCAGCCAUCUUCAUCAUCCCGGCGCUCUCCAUGACGAGAAGGGAGUAGUUCACCCUCGGGGCUGAGGGUAUGUACCAGUAGCUAUGUGUUUGAUCUCUCUCUCUCUCUCUCUCGUGUUCUUGAUUCGGCAUGAUCUUGAUGUAUCAUGAGCUUUGCUAUUAUAGUUGGAUCUUAUGAUGUUUUUCCCCCUCUACUCUCUUGUAAUGGAUUGAGUUUUCCCUUUGAAGUUAUCUUCUCGGAUUGAGUCUUUAAGGAUUUGAGAACACUUGAUGUAUGUCUUGCAUGUGCUUAUCUGUGGUGACAAUGGGAUAUUCACCUGAUCUACUUGAUGUAUGUUUUGGUGAUCAACUUCCGGGUUCAGUGACCUUGUGAACUUAUGCAUAGGGGUUGGCACACAUUUUCAUCUUGACUCUCCGGUAGAAACUUUGGGGCACUCUUUGAAGUUCUUUGUGUUGGUUGAAUAGAUGAAUCUGAGAUUGUGUGAUGCAUAUCGUAUAAUCAUACCCACGGAUACUUGAGGUGACAUUCGAGUAUCUAGGUGACAUUAGGGUUUUGGUUGAUUUGUGUCUUAAGGUGUUAUUCUAGUACGAACUCUAUGAUAGAUCGAACGGAAAGAAUAACUUCGUGUUAUUUUACUACGUACUCUUGAAUAGAUUGAUCGGUUUGAGGUGGUUUCGUACCCUACAAUAAUCUCUUCGUUUGUUCUCCGCUAUUAGCGACAUUGGAGUGACACUUUGUUGCAUGUUGAGGGAUAGUUAUAUGAUCCAAUUAUGUUAUUAUUGAGAGAACUUGCACUAGUGAAAGUAUGAACCCUAGGCCUUGUUUCCUAGCAUUUCAAUACCGUUUACGCUCACUUUUACCACUUGUUACCUUGCUGUUUUUAUAUUUUAAAUUACAAAAACCUAUAUCUAUCAUCCAUAUUGCACUUGUAUCACCAUCUCUUCGCCGAACUAGUGCACCUAUACAAUUUACCAUUGUAUUGGGUGUGUUGGGGACACAAGAGACUCUUUGUUAUUUGGUUGCAGGGUUGUUUGUGAGAGACCAUCUUCAUCCUACGCUUCUCAUGGAUUGAUAAACCUUAGUUCAUCCACUUGAGGGAAAUUUGCUACUAUCCUACAAACCUCUGCACUUGGAGGGCAAACAACGUCUACAAGAAGAAGGAUGUGUAGUAGACAUCAAGCUCUUUUCUGGCGCCGUUGCCGGGGAGGUGAGUACUUGAAGUUAUAUCUUUAGAUCUUGCUAUCGAAUCUUUUAGUUUCUUGUUUUAUCACUAGUUUAGUCUAUAAAAGAAAACUACAAAAAAAUGGAAUUGAGGGUGCCUCAUAUGCUUCAUCUUUUUAAUGUCUUCCAUGAAAAUAAGGAUUCCGAUAAUUGUGCUCAAUUUCUAGAGGAAGAAUGCAUUAGAAUGUUUUGCACUAAAUCUUUGAAUGAUGAGCAUGAUUGCGAUGUUGUUAGUAUGAAUUCUUUGAAUACCCAUGAUGCUAAUGAUAUGCAAAGCCACAAGCUUGGGGAAGCUAUGUUUGAUGAAGAUGAUAUGUUUAUUCCCCCAAGUUUUGAUUAGCAAAUUUAUUAUGAUGAAAGCAUGCCUCCUAUUUAUGAUGAUUAUUGUGAUGACACGUAUGCUAUAAAGAAUAAAGAUAACCAUGAAACUUGUCAUCAUGAUUUUAAUUUUCAAUUGUAUUAUGCCUCGCAUGAUAGUUAUUUUGUUGAGUUUGCUCCCACUAUUCCGACUGAGAAGAAUUUUGCUUCUGUGGACAGUAGUAAAAUUUCUAUGCUUGUGCAUCAUGAGAAUAACGCUUUAUGUGAUGGCUAUAUUAUUGAAUUCAUUCAUGAUUCUGCUGAAAAUUAUUAUGAGAGAGGAACAUGUGCUCUUACAUAUUGCAAUAAUAUCAAGUUUCCUCUCUAUGUGAUGAAAAUCUUGAAGUUAUGCUUGUUUUGCCUUCCUAUGCUAGUUGAUUAUUGUUCCCAUAAGUUGUUUUCUCACAAAAUCCCUAGGCAUAGGAAGUGGGUUAGACUUAAAUGUGCUAGUCAUAUGCUUCAUGAUGCUCCCGUUAUGUUUCAAUUCUUAUCUUUUAUGUGAGCAUCAUUGUCAUCAUCAUGCCUAGCUAGAAAGGCGUUAAAGAAAAGCGCUUGUUGGGAGACAACCCAAUAUUUACCUUUAAUGUUUUUGUGUGUUCACAUGAUUAUGCUACUGUAGCAAUCAUGUUUUAUAGCUUUUGUUUCAAUAAAGUGUCAAGUAAGACCUUUAGGAUAGCUUACGGUGAUAGUUGUGUUGAUCCUGCUGAAAAUCAAAAUUUUUUGCUCCCAGUCAAUUAGUUUUGGUAAUUCACAUAAACAUGAUUUUGAUCUGAUUCUUUUUGCUAUGGAUUGGUAAACAAAUUUCUAAGGUUUUCAUAAUUUUGUAGAAUUUUUGGAGUUACAGAAGUAUUCGAUAGUUACAGAUUAAUACAGACUGAUCUGUUUUUGACAGAUUCUGUUUUCUAUGUGUUGUUUGCUUAUUUUGAUGAAUCUAUGAGUAGUAUCGGAGGGUAUGAACCAUAUAGAAGUUGUAAUACAUUAGAUAUUACACCAAUAUGAAUUUAGAAUGAGUUCACAACAGUACCUAAGUGGUGAUUUAUUUUCUUAUACUAACGGAGCUUAUGAGUUUUCUGUUAAGUUUUGUGUUGUGAAGUUUUCAAGUUUUGGGUAAAGAUUCGAUGGACUAUGGAAUAAGGAGUGGCAAGAGCCUAAGAUUGGGGAUUCCCAAGGCACCUCAAGGUAAUAUUCAAGGACAACCAAGAGCCUAAGCUUGGGGAUGCCCCAGAUGGCAUCCCCUCUUUCGUCUUCAUUCAUCGGUAACUUUACUUGGAGCUAUAUUUUUAUUGACCACAUGAUAUGUGUUUUGAUUGGAGCGUCAUUUUCUUUUGUUAGUAUUAUCUUGUUGUUAUUUAGAAUAAUGUUUUUACCAUGCUUAUUUUUCAAGUAUACAUGUUGCUGUUUCAAAACAAAAAGUUUACCGCUGUUGCAAAAAUUCCCUAGAAAAGUCAGAAAAUGAUAUAAUGUUGAAACUUUUUGCAUAUUGAGCUCUGAUAAAUCUUCUACAGUGUGGUAGACUUUCAUAAAUUUUGGAGUUAGGGAAGUAUGAUGAAUCUUGCAUUCUUUACAGACUGUACUGUUUUGGCAGAUUGCUGUUAUGUUUGCAUUGUUUGCAUAUGUUUGCUUGUUUAAUGAAUCUAUUUGAGGAUAGGAGUAUUAAAUAUGCAGAGGCAUUUAGUAUGCAAUGUUGAAUAAUAAUAUUUGUCAUUUGUUACAGUAGAAAAUGAUAAGGGUUUUGCAUUGGUCUAUACUAACUUAUCUCACGAGUUCUUGUUGAGUUUGGUGUGGAUGAAGCUUUCGAGAUUUAGGAAACCGAGAUAUAAAAGGAAUUUAGGAGACACAAAAGCUCAAGCUUGGGGAUGCCCAAGGCACCCCAAGAUAAUCUUUCAAGAAGUCUCAAGCAUCCAAGCUUGGGGAUGCCCCAGUAGGCAUCCCACCUUUCUUCUUCAACAAUUAUCGGUUAGUAUCGGUUGAACCUAAGUUUUUGCUUCUUCACAUGAUGUGUGCUAUCCUUGAAAUGUCAUUUUGUUUUGUUUUGCUUGCUGUUUGAAUAAAAUACCAAGAUUUGAAAUUCUUAAAUGUUAGAGAGUCUUCACAUAGUUGCACAAUUAUUUGACUACUCAUUGAUCUUCACUUAUAUCUUUUGGAGCAGUUUGUGUUUUGCUCUAGUGCUUCACUUAUACCUUUUUAGAGCACGGUGGUGGUUUUAUUUUGUAGAAAUUAUUGAUCUCUCAUGCUUCACUUAUAUUAUUUUGAGAGUCUUUUAGAACAGCAUGGUAAUUUGCUUUGGUUAUGAAUUUAGUCCUAAUAUGAUGGGCAUCCAAGAUGGGUAUAAUAAAAACUAUCAUAUAAAGUGCAUUGAAUACUAUGAGAAGUUUGAUUCUUUAUGAUUGUUUUGAGAUAUGAAGAUGGUGAUAUUAGAGUCAUCCUAGUGGAGUAGUUGUGAAUUUGAGAGAUACUUGUGUUAAAGUUUGUGAUUCCCGUACCAUGCACGUAUGGUGAACCGUUAUGUGAUGAAGUUUGAGCAUGAUUUAUUUAUUGAUUGUCUUCCUUAUGUGUGGAUGUCGGGAUCGCGCGAUGGUUAACUCCUACCAACCCUUCCCCUAGGAGCAUGCAUGUAGUACUUUGUUUUGAUGACUUGUAGAUUUUUGCAAUAAGUAUGUGAGUUCUUUAUGACUAAUGUUGAGUCCAUGGAUUAUACGCACUCUCACCCUUCCACCAUUGCUAGCCUCUCUUGUGCCGCACAACUCUCGCCGGUACUAUACACCCACCAUAUACCUUCCUCAAAACAGCCACCAUACCUACCUAUUAUGGCAUUUCCAUAGCCAUUCCGAGAUAUAUUGCCAUGCAACUUUCCACUGUUACGUUUAUUAUGACACGCUCCACCAUUAUCAUAUUGCUUUGCAUGAUCAUGUAGUUGACAUCGUAUUUGUGGCAAAGCCACCGUUCAUAAUUCUUUCAUACAUGUCACUCUUGAUUCAUUGCACAUCCCGGUACACCGCCAGAGGCAUUCAUAUAGAGUCAUAUCUUGUUCUAAGUAUCGAGUUGUAAUUCUUAAGUUGUAAGUAAAUAGAAGUGUGAUGAUCUUCAUUAUUAGAGCAUUGUCCCAUGUGAGGAAAGGAUGAUGGAAGCAAUGAUUCCCUCACAAGUUGGGAUGAGUCUCCGGACUUUAUGAAAAAUAAAAGAGGCCAAAGAAGCCCAAAUAAAAAAAAGAAGCCAAAGAAGCCCACUAAAAAAUAGAUGAGAGAAAAAGAGAGAAGGGGCAAUGGUACUAUCCAUUUACCACACGUGUGCUUCAAACACUACAGGAAUCAGCUACUUUGCUGUCUGCCACAGCGGACGGCAAAGCCAGGGAUGGCGGACGGCAAAAUGCUUUGCCGUCAGCGGCGGACGGCAAACAGUGAUGGCAAAGACAGGGUCGGCAAACAGGCCCUUUGCCGUCUGCUUUUUAUGGCGGACGACAAAGAGUGCUUUGCCUACAGCAGCGGACGGCAAAGAGGAGUGACGGCAAAAUACUAGACGUCCGCCAGCGUUAGUCCGUUAGGCGGCUAACGGCGGCCUUUGCCGUCAGCCAGCGGACGGCAAAUUUGAAUGCCUCGUUGCCGUCCGCCAAUUCACGUCAGCAAUGCAUCAGCGCUCGCUAUGUUUUGCCGUCAGCCGCGGCGGACGGCAAAGGCAAAGUCUUUGCCAUCAGCUUAACUUUGUCGUCCGCCACGGUAGGCAAAUUUGCCAAAUGGCUCAUCUCUGAGGAAGCACAGGUGGCCGCCACGUGUCCCCUUUGACGUCUGCCACCGACGGCAAAGGGGUCUUUGCCGUCUGCCGCGGACGGCAAAGAGCCUGUACUGCCUCUUUUUUAUUCUAUUUUUCUUAUAUCCAACAAUUAUCACAGCAAAUAUAUCACAGCACAUAUAUAUCCAUCACAUAAAUAUCCACAACAUAUAUAUCCAACAUAAUAAAUAUCCAGCACAUAUAUAUCCAUCCAUACAUACAUAGUAGGUUGCACAUAGUCCCAUCAAUCCAUACAUAUUACAAUAUGCAAAGUUUCAUCAUAGCAAUCUAGUUUCAUCAUACCAAGCGAGCAGAAUACAAGAAGUGCAUCAAAGGAAAAAACAAGCAAUCCAUCAUAGGAUGCUGGCUUCUGUGAAGUGAAUGAAACCUGCAAAAUGACAAAUAAGAAACUUAGAAAAAGAAUAGAAGAAGAAGAAGAAGACUAGAAGAAGAAGUAUAUGCCAUUUAUUAGCUAACUUAGGUGAACUGGAUCAUUUAUGAGCUAAAUUAGUUGAAAUGGAUCGUUUAUGAGCUAAGUUAGGUGAAAUGGAUCAUUUAUGAGCUAAGUUAGGUGAAAUGGAUCAUUUGUGAGCUAACCUAGGUGAAAUGGGUCGUUUAUGAGCUAACCUAGGUGAAAUAGGUUGUUUAUGAGCUAACCUAGGUGAAAUGGGUCGUUUAUGAGCUAACCUAGGUGAAAUAGGUCGUUUAUGAGCUAACCUAGGUGAAAUGGGUCGUUUAUGAGCUAACUUGGGUCAUUUUGGAGGAAACAAAGCUAAGUAUAGAUCGUUUUAGAGCUAACUUAGGUAAAAUGGCUGGUUUUGGAGGUCAGUAAGCUUAUUAAGUCAUUUUGGAGGAAAAGAAGCUAACUCUAGGUCAUUAAGGUAAGCAUAUUGGAGGAAAUAAAGCUAAGUCUAGGUCUUUAUGCAUUUGUUAAGCAAAAAACUAGAGAAACUUACCUUGAUCAUGGAGGUGUAGGAGCGGGCUGGCUCGUGCCAGUAGCUGGAGAAGGAUCGUGUGAUGCUUGUGUGGAGUUACGCUGCACCAAAGAUCAUUUCCAAUGUUUCGUUAGCAUGAUGACACUCAAAUGUUAAGACUAGCAAGUAACGUCCAUUCAAAUUAAGCUCACCGUGGUCUCAGGAGCAAUCUCUGGAUCAAGGGCUAUGGAGCCACGGGACCUCCCGCCACUAGAUAUCAUCACCUGCUCUGGAUCAAUGGGAAUCUCGCUCGGGUUAAACUCCUCCCCUUUCCUUGCCUUCCCCUUGACUUGCUUGUAACAGGUAGUGUGGGCCAUGGCAUACAGGUCGUACCCCUCUGGCACCUUAUCCAUCUUAUUGUAGCAUGCCUGAAAGAGAGAAACAAAGUAAAUUAGUAAUUAAAGGGCUCAAGAUAGCAUGAUGAAUGAAUUGCAUUAAUCAUGAAGCAAACCACAUACCCAAUUCCGCCCGAACUGAUAUAAGUUGGAGCUACCUUGAUGGUGUGGCACACCUUCAAUUUGGGCAUGUUUGUCCUUGGCCUCAGUCGGCUCCCCUUCCAUCUUUCAACACCUGCCAUGACAAAGAAUAAACGAAAUUAGUACAACAUAAAAAAAAGUAUCGACAUGAAUAAUAAUAUGUAUGUCACUUAAGUGUAUCAUCAUCAAGUACAACAUAAAAAAAUUGAAUACCUGACACUACUAAUAAUCUCGAUCAGUAUCAUCAAUAAAUGCAUAAUCAUCAUCAUCACUAUAAUCAAUGAUGGGCUCAUAGGGUUCAUUGGCAUCAACAUGUGCAAGGCCACCUUGACGUAAUCGGUCAAGCAUUGACAGGUCAUCCGCAGCAGUAACCUCUUCUUGUUCCGGCUCUUCUUGUUCCUCCUCUGGGGUGAUGUCGGAUUCACUGCGCUGUCUACUUCAAUGUUUUGGGGUGAAGUAUAGCGGUUCUUGAAACGCUUUUUGGAAAGACGUGUCUCUUGGAAGAAUUCUCCUUCAUAUGUGUCUGGGUUAAUGUGAGGUUCAUAAUCCUCUUCCUUUGGGGGAGAAAGUCUAGCACGUGGAGGCACUUCAUAAACGACAUCCCAACCUUUCAGAUUUGGAUUAGUUUGGCAGGCCCACGGUAGAUAGAAUACUUGGGUCGCCUGUUGAGCCGUAAUAUAAACAUCAGGAACAUCUAAAUGGGUGCUUUGGUUGAUUUCAACUAGCCCUAUAUGUUCAUGAGUCCUUCUAGUCUCCUUCGGCUGAAACCAAUAACAUUUGAAGACUACGACAUUCGGUGGGUUUUCACCAUAGAACAGAAGUUCAUAAAUUGCUUCAACUCUCCCAUAAUACUCGAUACCUCCUUUGUCGAUAGCAGAUACACAACAAUUUGUAGACUUUUGGUCGGCCAUAGAUUGCUCUUUGCCAUAGGUACGAAAGCGAUACCCGUUGAUGUCGUACUUGUCAAAUGAACGGACCUUAUAGUCAAAACCAUUAGCGACUUGUCUCAUUCGGCGUCCAUAGACUCUGAAUUAGCCUACAAGUUUAAUAUGAAAGGAUUGUUGCAUUACGCACAAAUUAGUGAAUGAAAUGAAAUUGUCUAAUAGAAAUUACCAUUUGUUUGAACCAAGAGAUGAAACCGGGAUAGCCGUCUCCUUGCUUUGCGAGAAGCUCAUACUCUUCGACGGAAUCCUUUUGGAUCUCCGCUCCAUACGAGAAUAUGGCGACGUAUCGACAGUAUGACAUAUCCAGGAAUAAGAGCAGUUCAAAGGAAAUAGAAGUUGCGAAACAAUGUACCGAGAACUUACUCGAUGUACGGCCGCACUUCUAUCAGGUUGUUGAAGAUAUACAACAAAAUGGUCCGCCAUUCUUCGUUAUCCAAAGAUACUGGAUGUGAAACACUAGCUGGUGCGAGAUUCCCUUUGAGUAGGUUGAGGUUGGAUCCACCCUUUUUAGGGUCGUCAGCAUUGUACCGAGGCUUCGGAUUAUGCAAAUGACGAUUUUUGGCUUCAUAGUGUGCUGUUACGAAGUUUGCCGCCUCCUCUGUGAUGAAUGCCUCAGCCAUCGAUGCUUCAAUUCUACGUUUAUUUUUACAUUUUUCUCGAAGCGUCUUCUGCAUCCUCUCAGUUGGGUAGCACCAACGAUUUUGCACGGGCCCCCCCAAUCUUGCCUCGGUCGGGAGAUGCAAAAUCAAAUGCUGCAUUGGAUUAAAGAAGCCCGGUGGAAAGAUCUUCUCUAACUUGCAGAUCAACUCCAGCGCCAACUCUUCCAUUUCUUCUAGCACACCAGGCGAUAAUUCUUUCGCACAAAGAACACGGAAGAAAUAGCUGAGUUCUGCCAGUACUAGCCAUUCAUCCUCAGGGAUGAAGCCACGCAACAUCACCGGCAUUACCCGCUCAAUCCAUAUGUGCCAAUCAUGACUCUUGAGACCAAAUAUCUUCAAUUUAUCAAGAUUCGCUCCCCUCUUUAGAUUCGCUACAUACCCAUCGGGGAACAUCAACUGUUGUUGCACCCACAAGAUAAUUUCCCUCAUAGCUGGCCUUCCAAGAUUGAACCAUGCCUUUGGCUUCGUCUAGUUCUGCUUUCCUUUCGGUUCUUUCAUGUUUUGUAACGGCCUAUCACAUAGCGCCUCCAGAUCAACUCUAGCCUUAGUAUUAUCCUUUGACUUCCCAUCUAUGCCGAACAAUGUACCAAAAAGUGCCUCGGCGAUAUUCUUCUCAGUGUGCAUCACGUCGAUGUUGUGUGGGCAAAGGAGGUCUUUGAAGUAAGGCAGAUCCCAUAAGCAUGUUUUGUGAGUCCAUGCGUGCUUAGUAUUAUACCCCUUGAAGUACCCUGGACGCUGUGGAUCUGUCUCGAGAGUGUUUAACUGAUCCAGGGUCUGUUGGCCUGUCAAUGUAGGUGGUGCAGAGUUUUUGACAACUCUACCUCUGAUGAAGUUCUUCUUGUCUUUCCUGAACUUAUGGCGAGGAUCCAGGAACUGUCUAUGCAUGUCGAAGCAAGAAAACUUGCGACUGGCCUGAAGCCAACGAAACUCAAGAGCUCCCUUGCAUGUGGGGCACGGGAACCUUCCAUGCACACACCAGCCAACGAAUAGCGCAUACGCCGGCAAGUCAUGCAUCGAGUACAUGUACCAGACACGCAUUAUGAAGUUCCAUUUGCUAUAGGCGUCGUAUGUCUUGAACCCAUUAUCCUAGGCUUCUUGCAAUUCAUCCUUAAGCGGCUGCAUGUACACAUUCAUAUUUUUCCCCGGAUAGUUGGGCCCUAGAAUUAUCAACGUCAGGAAAAUGUUCUUUCUUUGCAUAAUCUGUCCGGGGGGGAGAUUGAGUGGAAAGACAAAUACGGGCCAACAACUGUAUUGGGCUGCCAUCAUACCAAACACACUGAACCCAUCUGUGCUGAUGCCGACUCGAGGAUGCCUCGGAUCUGCCGCUUUGUCAGCAUGUAAUUCAUCAAACUUUUUCCAUGUAACACCAUCCGAUGUGUGUACCAUCAUCAGAUUCCCAUCUGUAUCUAGUUCGGUUCUUUUGCCUGUUUUGUGCCAUGUCAUCUGUCUGGCCGUCUCUUCGACCAUGAAAAGACAUUGAAGUCUUGGUACGAUUGGCAUAUACCGAAGAACACUAACGGGGAUUUUGGUCUGUGUCUUCUCACCCAUACCGUUGUCUACCACAAUAUACCUGGAAGACUUGCAAAUGGGACAAUAGUUCAAGUCUGCAUAGUCAAGCCUAAAUAAGGCACAUCCUUUCUCACAGGCAUGUAUCUUCUCAUAAGGCAUCUUCAGUGCACGGAGGAUUUUGUCCGACUGGUACAGGUUUGCAGGCAUUACAUGGCCUUUGGGUAGAAAGCGUCCAAAUACUGUCAUAAUUGCGUCAUAGCAUUCUCUGCCCAAGUUGAAUUGAGCCUUCAGAGCCAUUACUUGUGAGAUGGCAUCCAACUGACAAAGCUCAGUGUGCUCGUGGAGCGGACGUUUUGAAGACUCCAACAUUUCAUUGAAGGCCUUUGCAGAUUCCUCCAUCUCCUAGUCUGAAUCCCGAGAAUCGUCGUAGUCUUGCACCAUGUUUUCCAUCCCGGUACCAUGCUCGUCGGUGCGACGAUGAUCCACCUCAGCUCGGUCACGUUGGGCAGACUCACCAUGAAAUGUCCACACCGUAUAAUCGGGCGUAAAACCACUCUUCUGCAGGUGUUUGCCCACUUCAGCCUCUGUCCUCUUUUCCCAAUUGUCGCACCGUAAACAGGGGCACCAGGUUUUCUUCUGGCCAUUUGCAAAUGUGGCUUGCACAAACCCUUUGGUUUUUGUGAACCAUUCAGUGCUCCAUUUGUUCUGACCAGUGUGACCGGUAUACAUCCACGCACGAUCACUCAUCUUGACUUUUAGAGCUACUGGACACACAACAAUUAUAUAUGUAAUUCACCAUGUAUAUAUUCAUCAGUUGAUCUACUUUGUCAAUUUUAUUACGUCCAUGCAACCUACACUCUAAUAGGUAAUGAUAGGUCCUAAUCCCACCCAUGUAUGUGUAGAUUGGGUUCAUUUUCCCAUGCUAUGCUCCGGAUCCGACGCAAAAUUUCAGCAGCACCUCCCCGCUGUUCUCCUGAUACACGUCUCUGGAAUAAACAAAGAGGAUGUGUACCCGGAGAACAACAGGGGAGGCAUUGACGAAAUUUAUGCGUCGGAUCCGGAGCAAAGCAUAUGGGAAAACGAACCCAAUCUACACAUACUCGGGCUAUCCAUGGAUAGCGUUGGACAAUUCGAAAGAAUCAAGGUUAUAAAUAUGCAAAUGCAUGCAUAUUUAUAACUACGACGCUUUCGAACGGGAGACACAUAUUGGUUACGCAUACUGAUGAUUCAAGACACAUAUAUAGCUAGCUAUCAAGUUUCAUCGGAAUAGAUCAAAUAAUUAAUGGGGGAGGAGGACAUGUCAUUUGUGCUCACCCACGAACGAAGGGGCAGAGCUCGUCAAACGCACGGCGAGGUCGUCGAACACCAAACCUCGCAGCGAUGAAACAACUGCACAUUUAAAACUACCCGAUCAACACAAUUAUAUAUGNNNNNNNNNNGAGGAUGUGUACCCGGAGAACAACAAGGGAGGCACUGACGAAAUUUAUGCGUCGGAUCCGGAGCAAAGCAUAUGGGAAAACGAACCCAAUCUAAACAUACUCGGGCUGUCCAUGGAUAGCGUUGGACAAUUCGAAAGAAUCAAGGUUAUAAAUAUGCAAAUGCAUGCAUAUUUAUAACUAUGACGCUUUCGAACGGGAGACACAUAUUGGUUACGCAUACUGAUGAUUCAAGACACAUAUAUAGCUAGCUAUCAAGUUUCAUCGGAAUAGAUCAAAUAAUUAAUGGGGGGGAGGACAUGUCAUUUGUGCUCACCCACGAACGAAGGGGCAGAGCUCGUCAAACGCACGGCGAGGUCGUCGAACACCAAACCUCGCAGCGAUGAAACAACUGCACAUUUAAAACUACCCGAUCAACACAAUUAUAUAUUAUGUUUUUCAUAACAAAAUCAAAAAAUAUAUGACCUAACUAAUAAUUCACAAAUAUAUGACCCCAUCGGCCUCUGGAAGGCCAAAGAACACCUUUUCGGGAGGUGUCGGGGGUCGGGGUGUCGUGUCGGUGUCGGGNNNNNNNNNNNNNNNNNNNNNNNNNNNNNNNNNNNNNNNNNNNNNNNNNNNNNNNNNNNNNNNNNNNNNNNNNNNNNNNNNNNNNNNNNNNNNNNNNNNNNNNNNNNNNNNNNNNNNNNNNNNNNNNNNNNNNNNNNNNNNNNNNNNNNNNNNNNNNNNNNNNNNNNNNNNNNNNNNNNNNNNNNNNNNNNNNNNNNNNNNNNNNNNNNNNNNNNNNNNNNNNNNNNNNNNNNNNNNNNNNNNNNNNNNNNNNNNNNNNNNNNNNNNNNNNNNNNNNNNNNNNNNNNNNNNNNNNNNNNNNNNNNNNNNNNNNNNNNNNNNNNNNNNNNNNNNNNNNNNNNNNNNNNNNNNNNNNNNNNNNNNNNNNNNNNNNNNNNNNNNNNNNNNNNNNNNNNNNNNNNNNNNNNNNNNNNNNNNNNNNNNNNNNNNNNNNNNNNNNNNNNNNNNNNNNNNNNNNNNNNNNNNNNNNNNNNNNNNNNNNNNNNNNNNNNNNNNNNNNNGGUGGGGCGACCGGGCGGCGGCGAGUGGUGGGGGCGGCGGCGCGCGUGUGGGAGCAGGGAGAGAAACAGAGAGAGAGGGGCGGGGUGGGGCGCGCCGUUAGAUAUGUUAAAUGUUUGUCGUCCGCCUUCUUUGCCGUCCGCUUUUUUGCUCUUUGCCGUCUGCUAGCAGACGACAAAGAGGGGGGGCGUUAAGUAUUUUUUAAGCAGCUCCUCAGUGGGGCCCCCUCCCUCUUUGCCGUCCGCUAGCCGACGGUAAAGAAUCUUUGAUGUCUGCUAGCAGACGGCAAAGAACUGGCUGAUGGCAAAGACUUUCUUUGCCAUCAGCUAGUUCUUUGUCUUCUGCUUUUGGGUAGCUGAUGGCAAAGAGCUUCUUUGCCGUCUGCUAGCGAGCUGGCAGAUGGCAAAGUAGCUGAUUCCAGUAGUGAAAGUAGCACCAUGAUCUUCAUGAUAGAGAGUCUCCUAUGUUAUCACUUUCAUAUACUAGUGGGUAUUUUUCAUUAUAGAACUUGGCUUGUAUAUUCCAAUGAUGGGCUUCCUUAAAUUUCCCUAGGUCUUCGUGAGCAAGCAAGUUGGAUGCACACCCACUUAGUUUUCUUUUGAGCUUUCAUACACUUAUAGCUCUAGUGCAUCCGUUGCAUGACAAUCCCUACUCACUCACAUUGAUAUCUAUUAAUGGGCAUCUCCAUAGCCCGUUGAUACGCCUAGUUGAUGUGAGACUAUCUUCUCCUUUUUUAUCUUCUCCACAACCACCAUUCUAUUCCACCUAUAGUGCUAUGUCCAUGGCUCAUGCUCAUGUAUUGCGUGAAAGUUGAAAAAGUUUGAAAAUACUAAAAUAUGAAACAAUUGCUUGGCUGAAACCGGGGUUGUGCAUGAUUUAAAUAUUUUGUGUGAUGAAGAUAGAGCAUAGCCAAACUAUAUGAUUUUGUAGGGAUAACUUUCUUUGGCCAUGUUAUUUUGAGAAUACAUAAUUACUUUGUUAGUAUGCUUGAAGUAUUAUUAUUUUUAUGUCAAUAUUAAACUUUUGUCUUGAAUCUUAUGGAUCUGAAUAUUCUUGCCACAAUAAAGAAUAUUACAUUGAUAAAUAUGUUAGGUAGCAUUCCACAUCAAAAAAUUUGUUUUUAUCAUUUACCUACUCGAGGACGAGCAGGAAUUAAGCUUGGGGAUGCUUGAUACGUCUUCAACGUAUCUAUACUUUUUGUUUGUUCCAUGCUAUUAUAUUAUCUGUUUUAGAUGUUUAAUGGGCUUUAUUAUACACUUUUAUAUUAUUUUUGGGAUAACCUAUUAACUGGAGGCCCAGUCCAAAUUGUUGUUUUUCCCUAUUUCAGUGUUUCGCAGAAAAGGAAUAUCAAACGGAGUCCAAACGGAAUGAAACCUUCGGGGGAGUGAUUUUUGGAACAAACAUGAUCCAGAGGACUAGGAGUGGACGUAAAGAAAGAAGCGAGGAGGCCAUGAGGCAGGGAGGCGCGCUGAUGUCUACAACACAACCUUCUUCUUGUAGACGUUGUUGGGCCUCCAAGUGCAGAGGUUUGUAAGAUGGUAGCAAAUUUCCCUCAAGUGGAUGACCUAAGGUUUAUCAAUCCGUGGGAGGCAUAGGAUGAAGAUGGUCUCUCUCAAACAACCCUGCAACCAAAUAACAAAGAGUCUCUUGUGUCCCCAACACACCCAAUACAAUGGUAAAUUGUAUAGGUGCACUAGUUCGGCGAAGAGAUGGUGAUACAAGUGCAAUAUGGAUGGUAGAUAUGAGUAUUUGUAAUCUAAAAAUAUAAAAACAGCAAGGUAACAAGUGGUAAAAGUGAGCGUAAACGGUAUUCCAAUGCUAGGAAACAAGGCCUAGGGUUCAUACUUUCACUAGUGCAAGUUCUCUCCACAAUAAUAACAUAAUUGGAUCAUAUAACUAUCCCUCAACAUGCAAGAAAGAGUCACUCCAAGUCACUAAUAGCGGAGAACAAACAAAGAGAUUAUUGUAGGGUAUGAAACCACCUCAAAGUUAUCCUUUCUGAUCGAUCUAUUCAAGAGUCUGUAGUAAAAUAACAUGAAGCUAUUCUUUCCGUUCGAUCUAUCAUAGAGUUCGUACUAGAAUAACACCUUAAGACACAAAUCAACCAAAACCCUAAUGUCACCUAGAUACUCCAAUGUCACCUCAAGUAUCCGUGGGUAUGAUUAUACGAUAUGCAUCACACAAUCUCAGAUUCAUCUAUUCAACCAACACAAAGUACUUCAAAGAGUGCCCCAAAGUUUCUACCGGAGAGUCAAGACGAAAACAUGUGCCAAGCCCUAUGCAUAAGUUCAUUGAACCCACAAGUUGAUCACCAAAACAUACAUCAAGUAGAUCACAUGAAUAUCCCAUUGUCACCACAGAUAAGCACAACAAGACCUACAUCAAGUGUUCUCAAAUCCUUAAAGACUCAGUCCGACAAGACAACUUCAAGGGGAAAGCUCAAUUCAUCACAAGAGCAUAGAGGGGGAGAAACAUCAUAAGAUCCAACUAUAAUAGCAAAGCUCGCGAUACAUCAAGAUUGUAUCACCUCAAGAACGAGAGAGAGAGAUCAAACACAUAGCUACUAGUACAUACCCUCAGCCCCGAGGGUGAAUUACUCCCUCCUCGUCAUGGAGAGCACCGGGAUGAUGAAGAUGGCCACCGGUGAGGGAUCCCCCCUCCGGCAGGGUGCCGGAACAGGGCCCCGAUUGGUUUUUGGUGGCUACAGAGGCUUGCGGCGGCGGAACUCCCCGUCUAUUGUGCUCCUUGAUGUUUUUAGGAUAUAUGGAUAUAUAUAGGCGAAAGAGGUCGGUCAGGGGAGCCACGAGGGGCCCACGAGGGUGGGGGCGCGCCCAGGGGGUAGGGCGUGCCCUGGACCCUCGUGGCCACCUUGUUGCUUCCCUGACAUCUACUCCAAGUCUCCUGGAUUGCGUUCGUUCCAAAAAUAACUCUCCCGAAGGUUUCAUUCUGUUUGGACUCCAUUUGAUAUUCCUUUUCUGCGGAACACUGAAAUAGGCAAAAAACAGCAAUUUGGGUUGGGCGUCUGGUUAAUAGUUAGUCCCAAAAAUGAUAUAAAAGUGUUUAGUAAAGCCCAUAAACAUCCAAAACAGAUAAUAUAAUAGCAUCGAACAAUCAAAAAUUAUAGAUACAUUGGAGACGUAUCAAGCAUCCCCAAGCUUAAUUCUUGCUCGUCCUCAAGUAGGUUAAUGAUAAAAACAGAAAUUUUGAUGUGGAAUGCUACCUAGCAUAAUUCUCAAUUUGAUUUUUCUUUAUUGUGGCAUGAAUGUUCAGAUCCGAAUGAUUCAAGAUAAAAGUUUAAUAUUGACAUAAGAGUAAUAAUACUUCAAGCAUACUAACAAAGUAAUCAUGUCUUCUCAAAAUAACAUGGCCAAAGAAAGCUUAUCCUUACAAAAUCAUAUUGUUAGGCUAUGUUUCAUUUUUGUCACACAAAAUACGCCCAUCAUGCACAACCCCGGUUUCAGCCAAGCAAUUGGUUCAUACUUUUUAACGUGCUUCAGCUUUUUUCAACUCUCCCGCAAUACAUGAGUGUAAGCCAUGGAUAUAGCACUAUGGGUGGAAUAGAAUAUGAUGAUGGAGGUUGUGUUGGAAAAAAAGGAGAGAGUCUCACAUUGACGAGGCUAAUCAACAGGCUAUGGAGAUGCCCAUCAAUUGAUGUCAACAUGAGGAGUAGGGAUUGCCAUGCAACGGAUGCACUAGAGCUAUAAAUGUAUGAAAUCUCAACAAAAGAAACUAAGUGGGGGUGCAUAUAACUUGCUUGCUCACGAAGACCUAGGGCAUUUUGAGGAAGCCCAUGUUGGAAUAUACAAUCCAAGUUCUAUAAUGAAAACUUCCCACUAGUAUAUGAAAGUGACACAAUAAGAGACUCUCUAUCAUAAAGAUCAUGGUGCUACUUUGAAGCACAAGUGUGGAAAAGGAUAGUAGCAUUGUCCCCCCCCCUUGGGGGGGCUUCCUUUUUUUAUUUUGCCUUUCUAUUUUUUUGGCCUUUCUCUUUUGUUUGGCCUUUCUUUUCAAGGGACAAUGCUCUAGCAAUGAUGAUCAUCACACUUCUAUUUACUUACAACUCAUGGAUUACAACUCGAUACUAGAACAAGAUAUGACUCUAUAUGAGUGCCUCCGGCAGUGUACCGGGAUGGGCAAUGAAUCAAGAGUGACAUGUAUGAAAAUUAUGCAUGGUGGCUUUGCCACAAAUAUGAUGUCAACUACAUCAUCAUGCAAGGCAAUAUGACAAUGAUGAAACGUGUCAUAAUAAAUGAAACGGUGGAAAGUUGCAUGGCAAUAUAUCUCGGAAUGGCUAUGGAAAUGCCAUAAUAGGUAGGUAUGGUGGAUGUUUUGAGGAAGCUUUAAGGAGGUUUAUGUGUGAUAGAGCGUAUCGUAUCACGGGGUUUGGAUGCACCGGCGAAGUUUGCACCAACUUUCAAGGUGAGAAAGGGCAAUGCAUGGUACCAUAGAGGCUAGCAAUGAUGGAAGGGUAAGAGUGCGUAUAAUCCAUGGACUCACAUUAGUCAUAAAGAACUCAUAUACUUAUUGCAAAAGUUUUAUUAGCCCUCGAAGCAAAGUACUACUACGCAUGCUCAUAGGGGAAGGGUUGGUAGGAGUUAACCAUCGCACGAUUCUGACCUCCACUCAUAGGGAAGGCAAUCAAAAGAGCAUCCCAUGCUACAAAUUUGUUACACAAAUUUUACCAUACGUGCAUGCUAUGGGACUUGCCAACUUCAACAAAAAUAUUUCUCAAUUUCAUAAUUACCCAACUAGCAUGAUUCUAACAUUGCCACCUUUAUAUCUCAAAACAAUCAUCAAGCAUCAAACUUCUCAUAGCAUUCAAUGCACUCUAUAUGAUAGUUUUUAUUAUACCCAACUUGGAUGCCCAUCAUAUUAGGAUCAAUUUUAUAACCAAAGAAAAUACCAUGCUGUUCUAAAAGACUCUCAAAAUAAUAUAAGUGAAGCAUGACAGAUCAAUAAUUUCUACAAAAUAAAACCACCGCCGUGCUCUAAAAAGAUAUAAGUGAAGCACUAGAGCAAAAUUGUCUAGCUCAAAAGAUAUAAGUGAAGCACAUAGAGUAUUCUAAUAAAUUCCGAAUCGUGUGUGUCUCUCCCAAAAUGUGUAUACAACAAGGAUGAUUGUGGUAAACUAAAAAGCAAAUACUCAUAUCAUACAAGACGCUCCAAGCAAAACACAUAUCAUGUGGUGAAUAAAAAUAUAGCUCCAAGUAAACUUACCGAUAGACGAAGACGAAAGAGGGGAUGCCAUCCGGGGCAUCCCCAAGCUUAGGCUCUUGGUUGUCCUUGAAUAUUACCUUGGUGUGCCUUGGGAAUCCCCAAGCUUAGGCUCUUGCCACUCCUUAUUACAUAGUCCAUCGAAUCUUUACCCAAAACUUGAAAACUUCACAACACAAAACUCAAUAGAAAACUCGUAAGCUCCGUUAGUAUAAGAAAAAUAAAUCACACUUCGGUACUAUUGUGAACUCAUUAUAAAUUCAUAUUUGUGUAAUAUCUACUGUAUUCCCACUUCUCUAUGGUUCAUACCCUCCGAUACUACUCAUAGAUUCAUCAAAAUAAGCAAACAACAGAUAGAAAACAGAAUCUGUCAAAAACAGAACAGUCUGUAGUAAUCUGUAACUCUAGAAUACUUAUGUAACUCCAAAAUUUCUACCAAAUUAGGAAAUCCUGAGAAAUUUGUGUACCAAUCCAUAGCAAAAAGAAUAAGAUAACAAUCACGUUUCUGGGAAUUAUCAAAACUAAUUUACUAGGUGCAAAAGUUUCUGAUUUUCAGCCGGAUCAACACAACUAUUACCGUAAGCUAUCCUAAAGGUCUUACUUGGCGCUUUAUUGAAACAAAAGCUAUAAAACAUGAUUACUACAGUAGCAUAAUCAUGUGGACACACAAAAACAAUAAGUAUAAAUAUUGGGUUGUCUCCCAACAAGCGCUUUUAUUUAUUGCCCUUUCUAGCUAGGCACGAUGAUGACAAUGAUGCUCACAUAAAAGAUAAGCAUUGAAACAUAACGGGAGCAUCAUGAAGCAUAUGACUAGCACAUUCAAGCCUAACCCACUUCCUAUGCAUAGGGAUUUUGUGAGAAAACAACUUAUGGGAACAAGAAUCGACUAGCAUAGGAAGGAAAACAAGCAUAGCUUCAAGAUUUUCAACACAUAGAUAGGAAACUUGAUAUUAUUGCAAUUCCUACAAGCAUAUGUUCCUCCCUCAUAAUAAUUUUCAGUAGCAUCAUGAAGGAAUUCAACAAUAUAAACAUCACAUAAAGCAUUAUUUUCAUGAUGCACAAGCAUAAAAAAUUUACAACUCUCCACAUAAGCAAACUUCUUUAUGGCAUACGUAUCAUCACAAUAAUCAUCAUAAAUAGGAGGCAUGCUUUCAUCAUAAAAAAUUUGCUCAUCAAAACUUGGGGGACUAAACAUAUCAUCUUCAUAAAACAUAGCUUCCCCAAGCUUGUGGCUUUGCAUAUCAUUAGCAUCAUGGAUAUUCAAGGAAUUCAUACUAACAACAUUGCAAUCAUGCUCAUCAUACAAAGAUCUAGUACCAAACAUUUUAAUGCAUUCUUCUUCUAGCAAAUGAGCACAAUUUUCCUUACCAUCAUUCUCACGAAAGAUAUUAAAAAGAUGAAGCAUAUGAGUCAAACUCAAUUCCAUUUUUUGUAGUUUUCUUUUAUAGACUAAACUAGUGAUAAAACAAGAAACUAAAAGAUUCGAUUGCAAGAUCUAAAGAUAUACCUUCAAGCACUCACCUCCCCGGCAACGGCGCCAGAAAAGAGCUUAGUUGACGGGGUGUUAGUGUUGCUUACCUCGCCUCCCCGGCAACGGCGCCAGAAAAGAGCUUGAUGUCUACUACACAACCUUCUUCUCGUAGACGUUGUUGGGCCUCUAAGUGCGGAGGUUUGUAGGACAGUAGCAAAUUUCCCUCAAGUGGAUGACCUAAGGUUUAUCAAUCCGUGGGAGGCGUAGGAUGAAGAUGGUCUCUCUUAAACAACCAUGCAAACAAAUAACAAAGAGUCUCUUGUGUCCCCAACACAACCAAUACAAUGGUAAAUUGUAUAGGUGCACUAGUUCGGCGAAGAGGUGGUGAUACAAGUAUAAUAUGGAUGGUAGAUAUGAGUAUUUGUAAUCUGAAAAUAUAAAAACAGCAAGGUAACAAGUGGUAAAAGUGAGCGUAAAUAGUAUUGCAAUGCUAGGAAACAAGGCCUAGGGUUCAUACUUUCACUAGUGCAAGUUCUCUCAAAAAUAAUAACAUAAUUGGAUCAUAUAACUAUCCCUCAACAUGCAACAAAGAGUCACUCCAAAGUCACUAAUAGCGGAGAACAAGCGAAGAGAUUAUUGUAGGGUACGAAACCACCUCAAAGUUAUCCUUUCUGAUCGAUCUACUCAAGAGUCUGUAGUAAAAUAUAGAGUUCAUACUAGAAUAACACCUUAAGACACAAAUCAACCAAAACCCUAAUGUCACCUAGAUACUCCAAUGUCACCUAAAGUAUCCGUGGGAAUGAUUAUACGUUAUGCAUCACACAAUCUUAGAUUCAUCUAUUCAACCAACACAAAGUACUUCAAAGAAUGCCCCAAAGUUUCUACCAGAGAGUCAAGACGAAAACGUGUGCCAACCCCUAUGCAUAAGUUCAUUGAACCCGCAAGUUGAUCACCAAAACAUACAUCAAGUAGGUCACAUGAAUAUCCCAUUGUCACCACAGAUAAGAACGGCAAGACAUACAUCAAAUGUUCUCAAAUCCUUAAAGACUCAGUCCGACAAGACAACUUCAAGGGGAAAACUCAAUUCAUCACAAGAGAGUAGAGGGGGAGAAACAUCAUAAGAUCCAACUAUAAUAGCAAAGCUCGCGAUACAUCAAGAUCGUAUCACCUCAAGAACACGAGAGAGAGAGAGAUCAAACACAUAGCUACUGGUACAUACCCUCAGACCUGAGGGUGAACUACUCCCUCCUCGUCAUGGAGAGCGCCGGGAUGAUGAAGAUGGCCACCGGUUAGGGAUCCCUCCUCCGGCAGGGUGCCCGAACAGGGUCCCGAUUGGUUUUUGGUGGCUACAGAGGCUUGCGGCGGCGGAACUCUCGAUCUAUUGUGCUCCUUCAUGUUUUUAGGGUAUAUGGAUAUAUAUAUAUAUAUAUAUAUAUAUAUAUAUAUAUAGGCGAAAGAAGUCGGUGAGGGGAGCCACGAGGGGCCCACGAGGGUGGGGUGUGCCUAGGGGGUAGGGCGCGUCUUGGACCCUCGAGGCCACCUUGUUGCUUCCCUGACGUCUACUCCAAGUCUCCUGGAUUGCGUUCCUUCCAAAAAUAACUCCCCCGAAGGUUUCAUUCCAUUUGGACUCCGUUUGAUAUUCCAUUUCCGCGAAACACUGAAAUAGGCAAAAAAACAGCAAUUUGGGUUGGGCCUCCGGUUAAUAGGUUAGUCCCAAAAAUGAUAUAGAAGUGUUUAGUAAAGCCCAUAAACAUCUAAAACAGAUAAUAUAAUAGCAUCGAACAAUCAAAAAUUAUAGAUACGUUGGAGACGUAUCACGCGCCUGACCCCCCUGGGCGUGCCCCCCACCCUCAUGGGCCCCUUGCAGCUCCACCGACCUACUUCUUCCUCCUAUAUAUACCCAUAUAGUCCGAAAACAUCCAGGAGCACCAUAGAUCGGGAGUUCCACUGCCGCAAGUCUCCGUAGCCACCAAAAACCAAUCGGGACCCUGCUUCGGCACCCUGCCGGAGGGGGGAUCCCUCACCGGUGGCCAUCUUCAUCAUCUCGGCGCUCUCCAUGACAAGGAAGGAGUAGUUCACCCUCGGGGCUGAGGGUAUGUACCAGUAGCUAUGUGUUUGAUCUCUCUCUCUCUCUCUCUCUCGUGUUCUUGAUUCGGCAAGAUCUUGAUGUAUCGCGAGCUUUGUUAUUAUAGUUGGAUCUUAUGAUGUUUCUCCCCCUCUACUCUCUUGUAAUGGUUUGAGUUUUCCCUUUGAAGUUAUCUUAUCGGAUUGAGUCUUUAAGGAUUUGAGAACACUUGAUGUAUGUCUUGCAUGUGCUAUUUGUGGUGACAAUGGGAUAUUCACGUGAUCUGCUUGAUGUAUGUUUUGGUGAUCAACUUGCGGGUUCAAUGACCUUGUGAACUUAUGCAUAGGGGUUGGCACACGUUUUUGUCUUGACUCUCGGAUAGAAACUUUGGGGCACUCUUUGAAGUUCUUUGUGUUGGUUGAAUAGAUGAAUCUGAGAUUGUGUGAUGCAUAUCAUAUAAUCAUACCCAUGGAUACUUGAGGUGACAUUGGAGUAUCUAGGUGACAUUAGGGUUUUGGUUGAUUUGUGUCUUAAGGUGUUAUUCUAGUACGAACUCUAUGAUAGAUCGAACAGAAAGAAUAACUUUGUGUUAUUUUACUAUGUACUCUUGAAUAGAUUGAUCAGUUUGAGGUGGUUUCGUACCCUACAAUAAUAUCUUCGUUUGUUCUCCGCUAUUAGUGACUUUGGAGUGACUCUUUGUUGCAUGUUGAGGUAUAGUUAUAUGAUCCAAUUAUGUUAUUAUUGUUGAGAGAGCUUGCCCUAGUGAAAGUAUGAACCCUAGGCCUUGUUUCCUAGCAUUGCAAUACCGUUUACGCUCACUUUUACCACUUGUUACCUUGCUGUUUUUAUAUUUUCAGAUUACAAAAACCUAUAUCUAUCAUUCAUAUUGCACUUGUAUCACCAUCUCUUCGCCGAACUAGUGCACCUAUACAAUUUACCAUUGUAUUGGGUGUGCUGGGAACACAAGAGACUCUUUAUUUGGUUGCAGGGUUGUUUGAGAGAGACCAUCUUCAUCCUACGCUCCCACGGAUUGAUAAAUGAUACGUCUCCAACGUAUCUAUAAUUUAUGAAGUAUUCAUGCUAUUAUUUCAUCCAUCUAUGAUGUUUUAUAAGCAUUUAUAUGUCAUUUUAUAUGAUUUUUGGGACUAACCUAUUAACCUAGAGCCCAGUGCCAGUUUCUGUUUUCUCCUUGUUUUAGUGUUUUACAGAAAAGGGAUACCAAACGGAGUCCAAAUGACGUGCCAAUUUUUGAGGAUUUUUUCUGGACCAAAAGAAGACCACGGAGCAUCGGACUUGGGCCAGAGGAGUCCCAGGCUGCCCAUGAGACAGGGGGUGCCCUCCUAUCUCGUGGGCAGCCCGGAGGCCCCCUUGACGUGAAACCAACGCCAAAAAUUCCUAUAAAUACUGAAACCUUGGGGAAUUAACCUAGAUCAGAAGUUCCGCCGCCGCAAGCCUCUGUAGCCAUGAGAAAUCAAUCUAGGCCCUCUCCGGCACCCUGUCGGAGGGGGACAUCAUCACCGGAGGCCAUGGAGGAGGAUCUCGGAGGGGCCGUCAUCUCCAUGAAGGCCAAGGACCAGAGGGGGAAAGCCAUGGAGGAGGAAACACAAGGGGGAGAACCUCUCCUCCUCUCUCUUGGUGGCACCGGAGUGCCAUCGAGAGGGGAAUCAUCGCCGCGGUGAUCGUCUUCAUCAACAUCACCAUCAUCAUCACCAUCCUCAUCUCUUUUACGCGGUCCACUCUCCCGCACCCUGCUGUAAUCCCUACUUGAACAUGGUGCUUUAUGCUACAUAUUAUGAUCCAAUGAUGUGUUGCCAUCCUAUGAUGUUUUGAGUAGAUAUCUUUUGUCCUUGAGUUGAUUGAUGAUCUAGAUUGGUAUGAGUUGUAUGUUUUAUCUUGGUGCUGUCCUAUGGUGCCCUCCGUGUCGCGCAAGCGUGAGGGAUUCCCGCUGUAGGGUGUUGCAAUACGUUCAUGAUUCGCUUCUAGUGGGUUGCUAGAGUGACAGAAGCUUAAACCCGAGUAAGGGGUUGUUGCGUAUGGGACAAAAGGGGACUUGAUGCUUUAAUGCUAUGGUUCGGUUUUACCUUGAUGAAUCUUUUAGUAUUUGCGGAUGCUUGCUAGAGUUUCCAACCAUAAGAGCAUACGAUCCAUGUAGGAAAAGUAUGUUAGUUUAUGCCUCUCCCUCAUAUGAAAUUGCAAUGACGACUAUUGAUCUUUUUAACAAUUGCUUAGGACAAUUCCGCACGCUGAUCCACCAUUAUUCCACACUCGCUAUUUAUAUUAUUUAGUAAUAUAUUCUAACUUUAUGAUAACAGCACCUACUUUUAUAUUUUAGCUCUCCGAUAUCUUACAAAGUUAUCCUCUUUAUACCCACAACACAGUUUUAUUUCUUGUUUCUAGUUGGAAGCAAACGUUCGGUGCACGUAGAGUCGUAUCAGUGGCAGAUAGGGCUUGAGAGAAUAUUGAUCUUACCUUUAGCUCCUUGUGGGUUCGACACUCCAUACUUAUCACUUCCACCUUUGGGAAUUGCUACGAUGAUUCCCUACACUUGGGGAUUAUCAAGCUCUUUUCUGGCGCCGUUGCCGGGGAGCAAUAGCGUGGGGUUGAUAUUCUCGUGUGUGCUUGUUUGCUUUCUUUACUUAGUAGAUUUUGUUUUUCCUUUUUGUUUCUGUUUAGUUGUGGGUGAAACAUACAAAAUUUUUAAAAAGAAUGAAAAUACCCAAAAAAAUAUUUAAUUGCCUCUCAUGCCUAUAAAAGUUUUGUCAAAAAGAGAAGUGAUUGGAAAGUUAUGCAUUGAAGAAGUGAGGGUCGACCUUGAGCACUUGUGUUCAUGCUCACAGAAACAAUGUAGAAUUUUUCAUGGAAGUUUCUCUGUAAAUAAUUAUCCCCUUGUAUAUAUUCUUUGUAUUAUAAAAAUAAUGUGCCAAGCUUUGGUUGUAGGAUGAUAAGAUUGCUUGCUUACUAUGUGCAGAACAAAAACAGAAACUUUGGCUGUAGUGCAUGAAUUUACAUUUUUUUUACUGGAAAGUCAAAUGGGUCUGAAACUUAUUGCACAUUACUUUUGUACAAAUUGUUCAAAUUGUCAAAUUUAUUUCAUAAUUUUUGGAGUUACAGAAGUUUACUAAACUUCCAGAUUACUACAGAUUGUCCUGUUCUUAAGAGAUUCUUUUUGUGUGUGUGUUGUUUGCUUAUUUUGAUGCAUCUAUGGCUAGUAUGUGGAGGUAUGAACCAGAGAGAAGUUGGAAUACAGUAGGUUUAACACCAAUAUAAACAAAGAAUGAGUUAAUUACAGUACCUUAAAGUGGUAGUUUGCUUUAUUACACUAACGGAUCUCACAAAGUUUUUGUUUAAGUUUUUGUGAAUGAAGUGUUUGAAGAAUGAGGAGUUACCGAUGUGAGAAGAAUAAAGAGAGACAAGAGUUCAAGCUUGGGGAUGCCCAAGGCACCCCAAGUAAACAUUUCAAAGGAUACUCAAGCAUCUAAGCUUGGGGAUGCCCCGGUUGGCAUCCCAUCUUUCUUCUUCGACAAAUAUCAGUAUACCUCGGUUUUUGUUUUGUUCACAUUGUUUGUGCCCUUUGUGUUUUUGUUUUUCUUUGAGAAUCAUGCUAGCAUGAGAUAGCUCUUCAUUGAUUUAUAGAAUACUUCAUGUGCUUCACGUAUAUCUUUUAAGUAUGAUUUUAUAGAAUUGCUCUUUGUGCUUCACUUAAAUCGUUUGAGUAUGGUUUUAUAGAAUGCUUCGUGCACUUUACUUAUAUAUCUUGAGCAUGGACAUUGGUUAGUCUAUAUUAAUUGUAGAAUGCUCCAUGAACUUCACUUAUAUCUUUUGGAUUAUGAAUAAUACUAUAAUUUAAAGUGGGUUUGGAAGAGUGUCAACUUUAGGAAUUAGUGAUCCCACUAUCUUGGAGGAUAUUGAAUCUUCGUAUGAUAUUUAUGAAAGUGGAUUUGGAAGAGUGUCAACUUUAGUUAGUAUUCCAUUAUUUCGGAAGAGGUUCCAAUUGAGUAUGAGAACAAAGUUUCUAUUCAUGAUGCUACUGAAAAUUAUUAUGAGGGAGGAAUAUGUGCUUGUAGGAGUUGCAAUAAUGUCAAGUUUCCUCUCUAUGUGCUUAAAGUUUUGAAGUUAUACUUGUUUUGCCUUCCUAUGCUAGUUGACUUUUGUUCCUAUAAAUUGUGUGCUCACAAAAUCCCUAGGCAUAGGAAGUGAGUUAGAUUUAAAUGUGCUAGUCAUAUUCUUCAUGAUGAUCUCUUUGUGUUUCAACUCUUAUCUUUUGUGUGAGCAUCAUUGAAAUCUUCAUGCCUAGCUAAAAGGCAUUAAAGAAAAGCGCUUGUUGGGAGACAACCCAAUAUUUAUCCUUACUGUUUUUGUGUGCCCACAUGAUUAAGCUACUGUAGUAAUCAUGUUUUAUGCUUUUUGUUUCAAUAAAGUGCCAAGUAAGACCUUUGGGAAGAUUUGGGUGAAAGUUAAUGUGAUCUUGCUGUAAAAAACAGAAACGUUGCGCUCACGAGAUUAGCUGUCAAUUUUUACAGAAGAGUGAUUUUGAGUUGAUUCUUUUUGCAGAAGAUUAAUAGACAAAUUCCUCAUGUGCACCAAUUUAUUUCAUAAUUUUUGGAGUAGCAGAAGUAUGGUUAUUGUUCAGAUCAUUACAGACUGUUCUAUUUCUGACAGAUCCUGUUUUCAUUGCAUAGUUUGCUUGUUUUCUAGUUUCUAUGGCUUAUAUUUUUCAAUAUAAAUUGUAGAAAUGAUAUGGUACAGUAGGCAUUAUGCGAAAACAAUUAUGAACCUUGUCUUUUACAGUACCAAUGUGCAUGGUUUACUCUUUAUCAUACUAACCUAUCUCACGAAGUUCCAUUAAGUUUUGUGUGAUUGAAGUUUUCAAGUUUUGGGUGAGAUAUCGAUAUGAGAAGAAUAAGGAGUGGAAAGAUCCUAAGCUUGGGGAUGCCCAUGGAACCCCAAGGUAAUAUUCAAGGAAGACUCAAGCGCCUAAGCUUGGGGAUGCCCCGGAAGGCAUCCCCUCUUUCGUCUUCAAAACUAUCGGUACACCUUACUCGGAGCUAUAUUUUUAUUCGUCACAUGAUAUGUGUUUUACUUGGAGAGUCAUUUUAUUUUGUUAGUUUUAGCUUGCUGUUAUUUAGAAUAGUGUUUUGCAUCUUUAGUUUCAAUAAAAAUGUCAAGGAUAGCCUUUACCAUGCUUAUUUUGCUAGUAUACAUGUUGCUGUUUGAAAAUAGAAAGUUUACCGCUGUUGCAAAAAUUCCCUAGAAAAUUAAGAGCAUGAUAUAAUGUUGAAACUUUUUUCAUAAUGAGAUCUGAUAAAGAUACUACAGUGGGAAUUUUCUCUCAUAAUUUUUGGAGUUAGGUAAGUAUUGAUACUCUUGCAUUCUUUACAGGCUGUACUGUCUUGACAGAUUGCUGUUAUAUUUGCAUUGUUUGCAUAUGUUUGCUUGUUUAAUGAUUCUAUUUGAGGAUAUGAGUAUUAAAUAUGCAGAGGCAUUUAGUAUGAAAUGUUGAAUAAUAAUUCUAGUGUUUUGUUACAGUAGAAAAUGAUAAGGUUUUGCAUUGGUUUAUACUAACCUAUCUCACGAGUUCUUGUUGAGUUUGUUGUGGAUGAAGCUUUUGAUAAAAAGAGAAACCAUGGUAUGAGAUGAAUUAAGGAGACACAAAAGUUCAAGCUUGGGGAUGCCCAUGGCACCCCAAGAUAAAUAUUUCAAGAAGUCUCAAGCAUCUAAGCUUGGGUAUGCCCCGUUAGGCAUCCCACCUUUCUUCUUCAACAACUAUCGGUUAGUAUCGGUUGAGCCUAAGUUUUUUCUUCUUCACAUGAGUUGUGCUAUCCUUGCAAUGUCAUUUUAUUUUGUUUUGCUUGCUGUUUGAAUAAAAUCAUUGGAUCUGAAAUUUUGAAUAAAAAAGGAACCCUCCCAUGGCUAGUUAAUUAUUUUCCUACUCAGUGUCCUUCACUCGUAUCAUUUGGAGUAGUUUGUCAUUUACUCAUGCGCUUCAUGUAUAUCCUAUGAGUAAAUGGGGGAAUGGAUUGAAUGUCAUAAAUAUGAAUUUUUAUAUGUUUCAUAUGCUUAUAGCAUGGUUAGUGAUGACUUCACACAUAGAAAGUAUGAGGCAUAAAAGUUGUUGAGAGUUGGCAAACGUGGUUUUGGUCAUCGUUGCAAUUAAUAGGAAGUAAUAAGGAAAAAGAGGUUCGCAUACAAAUAUAUUAUCUUGGACAUCUUUUAUGAUUGUGAAGCACUCAUUAAGUAUGACAUACUAAAAGAGUUGACGUUGGACAAGGAAGACAACGUGAUGGUUUAUGUUUUCCGACAUCUCAGUUAAAGUAUAUUGUCAUUGACCCUCCAAACACGUUGAGCUUGACUUUCUCCCUCAUGCUAGCCAAAUUCCUUGCACCAAGUAGAGAUACUACUUGUGCUUACAAAUACCCUUAAACCCAGUUUUGCCAUGAGAGUCCACCAUACUUACCUAUGGAUUGAGUAAGAUCCUUCAAGUAAGUUGUCAUCGGUGCAAGCAAUAAAAAUUUCUCUCUAAAUAUGUAUGACUUAUUAGUGCAGAGAAAAUAAGCUUUGUACGAACUUGUUGUGGAAGUAAUAAAAGCGACAGACUGCAUAAUAAAGGUCCACAUACAAGGGGCAAUAUAAAGUAACGUUCUUUUGCAUUAAGAUUUUGUGCAUCAACCCUAAACGCGCAUGACAACCUCUACUUCCCUCCGCGAAGGGCCUAUCUUUUACUUUAUGUUUUUACUUUAUGCUUGAGUCAAGAUGAUCCUCACCUUUCCCUUUUUCAUUUUAUCCUUUGGCAAGCUCCUCGUGUUUGAAAGAUCAUGAUAUAUAUAUCCAAUUGGAUGUAAGUUAGCAUGGGCUAUUAUUGUUUACAUCACCUAAAGGUGAAUACGUUGGGAGGCAACACAAUAAGCCCCUAUCUUUCUUAGUGUCCGGCUGAAACUCCAUAACCACAAGUAUUGCGUGAGUGUUAGCAAUUGUAGAAGACUCUAUGAUAGUUGAGUAUGUGAACUUGCUGAAAAGCUCUAUUCUUGAUUCUUUCUGAUGUUAUGAUAAAUUGCAAUUGCUUUAAUGACUGAGAUUAUAGUUUGUUAGUUCUCAAUGAAGUUUCUGAACCAUGCUUGACAUUGUGACUAGAUUGUUACUUGAUCAUGAAAAGUUUUAUGAGAUAAGCUAUUAUUAUGACACAUUUUGAUGCUAGAAAAGGUGAUUGAAAUUAUCAUUGAUCAAACUUGUGCACCUGCUAGCAUGCACACUUCAUAAAUUAUUUCUUUUAUCAUUUACCUACUCGAGGACGAGAAGGAAUUAAGCUUGGGGAUGCUGAUACGUCUCCAGUGUAUCUAUAAUUUAUGAAGUCUCCAUGCUAUUAUUUCAUCCAUCUAUGAUGUUUUAUAAGCAUUUGUAUGUCAUUUUAUAUGAUUUUUGGGAUUAACCUAUUAACCUAGAGCCCAGUGCUAGUUUCUGCUUUCUCCUUGUUUUAGUGUUUUACAGAAAAGGGAUACCAAAUGGAGUCCAAAUGACGUGCCAAUUUUUGAGGAUUUUUUCUGGACCAAAAGAAGACCACAGAGCAUCGGAGUUGGGCCAGAGGAGUCCCGGGCUGCCCACGAGACAGGGGGCGCCCCCCUGGGGGGCGCCCUCCUAUCUCGUGGACAGCCCGGAGGCCCCCUUGAUGUGAAACCAACGCCAAAAAUUCCUAUAAAUACCGAAACCUUUGGGAAUUAACCUAGAUCAGAAGUUCCGCCGCCGCAAGCCUCUGUAGCCACGAGAAAUCAAUCUAGGCCCUCUCCGGCACCCUGCCGGAGGGGGCCAUCAUCACCGAAGGCCAUGGAGGAGGAUCUCGGAGGGGCCAUCAUCUCCAUGAAGGCCAAGGACCAGAGGGGGAAAGCCAUGGAGGAGGAAGCACAAGGGGGAGAACCUCUCCUCCUCUCUCUUGGUGGCACCGGAGUGCCAUCGGGAGGGGAAUCAUCGCCGCGGUGAUCGUCUUCAUCAACAUCACCAUCAUCAUCACCAGCCUCAUCUCUUUUACGCGGUCCACUCUCCCGCACCCCGCUGUAAUCCCUACUUGAACAUGGUGCUUUAUGCUACAUAUUAUGAUCCAAUGAUGUGUUGCCAUCCUAUGAUGUUUUGAGUAGAUAUGUUUUGUCCUUGAGUUGAUUGAUGAUCUAGAUUGGUACGAGUUGUAUGUUUUAUCUCGGUGCUGUCCUAUGGUGCCCUUCGUGUCGCGCAAGCGUGAGGGAUUCCCGUUGUAGGGUGUUGCAAUACGUUCAUGAUUCGCUUAUAGUGGGUUGCUAGAGUGAUAGAAGCUUACACCCGAGUAAGGGGGUUGUUGCGUAUGGGACAAAAGGGGACUUGAUGCUUUAAUGCUAUAGUUGGGUUUUAUCUUAAUGAAUCUUUUAGUAUUUGCGGAUGCUUGCUAGAGUUUCCAAUCAUAAGAGCAUAUGAUCCAUGUAGGAAAAGUAUGUUAGUUUAUGCCUCUCCCUCAUAUGAAAUUGCAAUGACGACUAUCGAUCUUGUUAACAAUUGCUUAGGACAAUUCCGCACACUGAUCCACCAUUAUUCCACACUCGCUAUUUAUAUUAUUUAGUAACAUAUUCUAACUUUAUGAUAACAACACCUACUUUUAUAUUUUAGCUCUCCGAUAUCAUACAAAGUUAUCCUCUUUAUACCCACAACACAGUUUUAUUUCUUGUUUCUAGUUGGAAGCAAACGUUCGGUGCACGUAGAGUCGUAUCAGUGGCAGAUAGGGCUUGAGAGAAUAUUGAUCUUACCUUUAGCUCCUUUGGGUUCAACACUCCAUACUUAUCACUUCCACCUUUGGGAAUUGCUACGAUGAUUCCCUACACUUGGGGAUUAUCAAUAAACCUUAGGUCAUCCACUUGAGGGAAUUUUUCUACUGUCCUACAAACCUCUGCACUUGGAGGCCCAACAACGUCUACAAGAAGAAGGUUGUGUAGUAGACAUUAGUGUUCCACGAAGCACUCCAUGAGGUUCACACCAAACACCUCAACGCAGUCUUCCUAAAAUUGGACUUCCACAAGGCUUAUGACACAGUUAGUUGGCCCUUCCUUCAGGAAUGUCUGCUUUGUAAGGGCUUCGAUGACAGGUGGGUGACCAGGGUGAUGCGGAUGGUAUCCUCGGGUCGAACCGCAGUGAACAUUAAUGAGGAGAUCGGCCCAUUCUUCCCCACAUUCUGUGGGGUGCUCCAGGGCGAUCCCUUCUCCCCGUUCCUGUUUAACAUGGUUGUCGAUGCGUUGGCGGCCAUCCUAGAUAAAGCCAAGGUUGUGGGUCACAUUAAGGGUAUAGUCCCGCAUCUUGUUGGGGGGAAUGGGAUCUCCCUUCUCCAAUAUGCGGAUGACACCAUUAUCAUGGUGGAAGGCUCAGCGAGCGAUAUCACGAACCUCAAGUUCCUCCUGCUGUGCUUCCAUCAGAUGUCUGGCAUCAGGAUCAACUUCGACAAGAGUGCGGUGAUGGUCUUGGGCUACUCCCAAGACGAGCGACAGAGCAUAGCGGAUCGGCUUAACUACCAUCUCGGGUGCUUCCCCAUGACCUAUCUGGGGAUACCCGUUAGUGACUCCAGGCUCACGGUGGCCGAGCUGCGCCCCACGGUGGGGAAGCUUCAGCAUCGUAUCGAGCCCUGGCAGGGUCGGUGGCUCUCGAAAGCAGCCCAUGCAGUGCUCAUUAACUCGUCCCUCUCCAACCUACUCUUAUUCAUCAUGAGCUUCUACAGCCUUCCGGAGACUCUUCAUCACGAGAUUGUCACUGUUUAGGGGUGAUUCUUCUGGGCUGGCAAGGGCGAUAAACAAAAGUACCACAUGGUUCGGUGCUCAGAGAUCUGCAAACCUCACGACGAGGGCGGACUCGGGAUCAUGUCCUCUAAACGCAUGAUCAUUGCCCUCCUGACUCGGUGGCUCUGGCGGAUUGCCAACGGAGAUGGUGGCCUGUGGCUUCGCAUCAUUCAGCAGAAAUACCUUCGUGGCUAGCCUCUCGCCUUCUGCCAGCGGUCUGGGGGCUUCCAGUUCUGGCAAUCCAUCAUCCAACUCCUUCCUGUCCUCCGGAUCGGGACCUCGAUUGAGGUAGGAUCCGGCACCGCCACGCUGUUCUGGUUCGAUAGAUGGACUGGAGACAUGCCCCUCGCGGCCCGCUUUCCUGACAUGUUCUCCAUCGCGGCUGCCCUGCGGAUUUCUGUCGCGAUUGCCCUUAUUGACUUUGGGCAACUCUGCAUUGCUUUACACGAGCCUGAUCUCACGACUGAAGACGACCGAUCUAGAUGGCGGCUAGAGCCUUCUGGGCAAUUCUCCACUAAAUCUCUCUACCAGGCCAUCGCCCCCUCGCUUGGCCAUGAGGUGUUCACCUCCAUCUGGGAGAUUCGGCUCCCUCUGAAAAUUAGGAUAUUCUUGUGGCAAUGGAUUCGCGGUCCGCUCCCGUCCUGCGUGGAGGUCCUAAAGCGCAAUGGCCCUGGUGAUGGGCGUUGCCUGCUUUGCGGGCCUGAAGAAGAUUUGAACCAUAUCUUCUUCUCCUGCGUGUCCGCGUAGUUCCUAUGGAGCUGUUUCCGCGAGAUAGUGGGUGGAAGCUGGGACCACAGCAACUUCCCCGCUCUCUUCGCCAAACUCUAGGCGAUCCCACCCGCGGUGCGCCACAUUAGGUGGCUAGCCAUUGGGGUGCUUGCUUGGACGCUGUGGAGUGAUUCAGCGUGUUCCUCUUCGUCGUGCUACUGAUGCUUUGUUCAAAUGCUCUGGCUACUUGCAGCUUUGGCGGCCGCUUAGCCGUCCUAGUGAGAGAGACGCCAUCACCUCCAUCAUCACCCAGCUUCGCACGAUGGCUCUCCGGAUGGCUCCACCGCUUCCUCCGCCACCACCGGAACCAGAUUAGAUCAUCGUCAUCUCGCCGCCGCCACCGCCGCCUAUGUGUUGUUUCGUCAUGCGUCUGUGUUGGGCUUGUUGUGUUGUGCCCACAGCUGAACUUGGGUCUGUUUGUUUGUGUGUGUGUGUGUGUGAGAGAGUGUUGGACCCUGCCUGCGGUGGCGUUGUGUUGGUGUGUGGUGUGUUCAGUUGUUACCUUGAUACUUUGUGCCUGGUGGUUGCUUUAUUUAUAAAGCGGGGCGAAAGCCUUUUCGGUAAUAGCAGCCUACUGGCCUCGCUCGCAACGCCAACCUGGACGUCGGUCACGAAUAGUGGUACUUACGUGCGGAAAUUCCUAUUGGACGCUCGUUGCGUCAAAAUGUCGAGAGAACGCAUAUAGGAGCGAUCAGCUGGGCCGGCCCAUCUCCCACUGUAGGUAGUUUCGGUUUUGGGAACCUUCUAGAGGUUCCCAGCCGGUCUUUUACGGUUUUAGGAACCUUCUAGAAGGUUCCUGAACCGGAUUUCUUUCUUUUCUGUUUUUCUUUUUGUUUUUAUUUUUUUUCUGUUUCUUUUAUCCUUUUCUCUCCUUGUUUCCUUUUUCUGUUUAUUUUCUUUACUUAUUUCUUUUUUGUUUCAUUUUUCUCCGAUUUUCUUUUCUUUUCUUUUUCAUUUUUCUUUCUCAGAUUUCUUUUUCUUUUUAAAAAAAUGUUCGCAUUUUACAAAUUUUGUUCAUUUCUAUGGAAAAAUGUUCCUGUUUUCAAAUGUUUGUUCAUAACUUGCAAAAUUUGUUUGCUUUGUUUCAGAAGAUGUUCAUAAUUUCAUAAAAUGUUCAAUUUUCAAAUAUUUGGUAAAAAAUUCAGAAAAUGUUCGUGGUUUAGUUUGUUUUUUCAGAAUUUCAUAAUUUGUUCGCCACUUCAAAAAAGUUUCAUGUUUUUCAAAAACAUUUUCUGCAGUUUCAAUUUUUUUGUUCGCAUAGGCAAAAAAAUGAUCUUGUCUAUGAAAAUGUUCAGAAAUUCAAAAUAUGUACGCACUUUUUCAAAACAUAGACAUUUUUUCUGAAUUUUGAACAAAUUUCAGGUUCGAGAACAUUUUUGUGGAAUGUUUCAAAAAUUGUUCACGUUUCAAAAAUUGUUUGCAAUUUUCAAAAAAUCAUCGUUUUUCAAAUUUUGUUUGGUACGUUUUUCUUUUAAAAAAUCACAUCUUUAAAAAAAUUGUUCAUCAUUCUAAAAAAUGUUCCCGUUUUGAAAAAAAAUCACAAAUUAAAAAAUGUUCCUGUUCUUAGAAUUUGUUUACAAAUUAAAAAAAAAUGCUCCUCUUUUUGAAAAGUGUUCACAAAUUCAAAAAAUAUUCACAUUUUGUCAAAGCCUGUUCAUGAUUGUGAAUUUUUGUUUGGAGUUUAACAAAAUGUUCAUUUUUUUCAGGAUUUGUUCACAAAUUCAAAAUAUGUUCCUGUUUUUAGUUUUUCUCAAAAAUUCAAAACAUUUUUUGCAUUUUCGAAAAACUUGUCUCUUUUUAUCAAAACUGAUCGUAAUUUUAAAAAAUGUUCCUGUUUUUCAAUAUUUGUGCACAACUUCAAAAUUGUUCCUUUUUUUAGAUUUGAUUACAUAUUCAAAAAGGUGCUAAAUUUUUUUUAAACUCGUGUGUGUAAGAAAAAAAACGUUCUUAACAUUGUAAAAAUCAGAAAUUACAAGAAAAGAUCGGAAAAAGAAAAAAUAACCGGAUCUGGUGAUGUGACUAGUUCUAUAGCAUUCGCAUUGCCAUAUCACCACAAGCAUCAAUCAGGUGUAGUGGUUAGAUAGCUCAUUCUACAAGUGUGCGGUCAUGAGAUUGAUUCCUCGCUGAAGUUUCGUGUUUUAUUUCAUUUUUACUCCACUCGCUGCCUGUGUGGGCCGGCCCAGUCGGGGGGCGCCCUGUGCGAAGCCCCGACUGGUUGCUGCAGUAAGCGGCACAUAGGUGCUCCCCUUACGUGCCACACAUCAUCCUAUGGCUUUUUUUUGCGGGUCAUCUUAUGGUUUGACCCAUCCCAAAGGGCGCUCUGUACCAAAACAUCCUGCCUACCUACAGCACAUAUGAUCGACGAUUAUUUGGAAAACGGAUCAUAAGCCAAUUAAGGAGUAGUAUAGAAGAUUUGGAUCAAAUCAAAUCAAAGCACGAAGUGCAGAAAGUACAUAUACAAUGCACUACUCGUAGGAAUUAAUAGCAUGCAUUGCAUGCGCACGCGGAAGAUGGCAAAAAAAGGAAGCUGCAUGCAUCAUAUGGACGUAUCUGGUGCAAUAUUACUUGGUGUAGGUGUAGAGAGGACCCAUGGACAAAAAUCGGUGGAAGAAAGCUUACUUUUUCUUUCUUUGGAGAAGCAUGAAGGGAGAGGACGAGAUAUAGAAAGGCAAUUACCUGGCAGAAAUUAAUUCAAUACGCUAUGGAGGAUGGACGGAUGAGGAGACACAAAAGGAAAAGCUGUAUCCAAUCUUAACAGAUGAGGAGACACCGUAGAGCAACCAAGGGGUGUAAACGCACAGAUGGCUAUGACAGUUGUCGUGCCACUUUAAAAGGUAUGAGGUAAAAUAAGAAAAUAAUUAACAAGGGCAUUUAUUACAAUAAAAUUGGUCCAAAGUAUCCUACGCACAUGCACGGGGCCACACCUCCCUCGUCCUCUUUAAGUGAAUAGAAAACAACUUUGCUAUGACCACCCUAUGUUUUUUUAUGUUUGACCCGAGAAAUAAGAAUGUUGUCUGGUAACCACAAGUAUAGGGGGAUCGUUUGUACAUUUUUCGAUAAAUAAGAGUGUCAAAUCCAACGAGGAGCUAAAGGUAGAACAAAUAUUCCCUCAAGUUUUAUCGACCACCGAUACAACUCUACGCACAGUUAACGCUUGCUUUACCUAGAAUAAGAAUAAAACUAUAAGUACUUUGUGAGAAUAAAACUAUGAAUAAAUUGCAAGAUAAUAAAACUAGUAGAUAGCUUUUGUAAUACAAGAAGGUCAUUUGUCCCUAGGUGAUCGAUAACUAGACUGGUGAUCAUUAUUGCAAUUUUAUAUGAGGGAGAGACAUGAGCUAACAUACUUUCCGUACUUGGAUCAUAUGCACUUAUGAUUGAAACUCUAGCAAGCAUCGCAACUAUCAAAGAUCAUUAAGGUAAAACCCAACCAUAGCAUUAAGUAUCAAGUCCUCUUUAUCCCAUACGCAACAACCCUCUUACUCGGAUCUGUGCUUCUAUCACUCACGCCACCCACCAUAAGCGAAUCAUGAACGUAUUGCAACACCCUAUAGCGGGGAACCCUCAUGUUUGCGCGACACGGAGGGCAACAUAGGGCAGCACCAAAAUAAAAUAUACAACUCAUACCAAUCAUGAUCAUCAAUCAACUCAUAGGACAAAACAGAUCUACUCAAACAUCAUAGGUAUAAUCACAUAUCAUUGGAUAAUAAUAUAUAGUGUUGAGCACCAUGUUUAAGUAGAGAAUUGCAGCGGGAAUAGAGAUGUUACACCGCUCAUAGAGGUGGAGAAAGUUGGUGCUGACGGUAGCAAGAUUGUUGAUGUAGAUCGUCGUCACGGUCCUAGCGUCAGCGGCACUCCGGCGCCACCGGGAGAGAGGGGGAGAGAGCCCCCUCCUUCUUAUUCUUUCUUCACCUCCCCCCUAGAUGGGAGGAGGGUUUCUCCUCAGGUCCAUGGCCUCCAUGACGGUGGAGGGGCGAGAGCCCCUUUGAGAUUGGAUUUAUCUCUCUGUUAUCUCCUGUUUCGCGUUCGUCAGAUCUAACCUUUCAUCGUUUCUUAAAUAUCCAGAGAUUCGUAACUCCAAUUGCGCUAAAAUUUUAACACGAACUUUUUCUGGAUAUAAGCUUCCUUGCGCCCGAAGAAGGGCAGCAACCACCUUACGAGAUGGCCACCACCCACCACCACGCACCAGGGCCUGGGCCGCGCCCUGGUGUCUUGUAGGGGUUGCGGGCCUCCUUUUGUGUUGAUUCCACCUCUCAAAAAUCACGUAUAUUCCAAAAUAAUUCUCCAUAAAUUUUUAUUGUGUUUAAACUUCGUUUUAUAUGGAUAUUCUGCGAAACAAAAAACAUGCAACAAACAGGAACUGGCACUGGGCACUGGAUCAAUAUGUUAGUCCAACAAAUCAUAUAAAAUGCUGCCAAAAGUAUGUGAAAGUUGUAUAAUAUUGGCAUGAAACAAUCAAAAAUUACAGAUUAGAUGGAGAUGUAUCAUUGUCAUCCACAUGUUUUACACUAUGGUCCUUCAUAUAUAAAUUUAUUUCGCUCCUUGCAUUACUUUUUAUAAGCAUUUUGUCCUCUCUUGGUACUCUAGAAUACACUACACCUUCGGUCGAUGUAUCAGUGCCCUGCCCCCCCCUAUCACAUAGCAUGCUCACCAUUUCCACCAUGGAUGCAAAACGUUCGGAGCCCUUGGCCAGAACUACCCAAUAGAAUGAGGCCCAAACUGUCACAUUUUUUUUAGGGAGGACUAAACUGCCACUUCCUAGCUCUCGGCAAGCUUCACUCGAAAUGGAAAUCCUCAUAACUCGAGGACACUCUCCGUUAAAAACCACUCGCAUUUCCUCCUAUAAAAUCCCCCAAGACCCCAUCUCUCGAACAGUGUGUUCACAGGAACAACAAUUCGAUCCAGAAAUAGUAGUCCCUAAUGAGCCCCCUGUCCCUGGCCCCCACCCGUUUGAAGCACCCUCCGCCCUCCGCCGCUUCCCCGUUUCGCUAUCGUCCACCAUCGGCCAGGUGAGAAGGCCAUGAGUAGCUCGCGCUAUCCGGCUGCUGUGGUAGACGAGGGUAAUGCUAAGAUGGCAGUGAGGGAGUGGGUCGGGUGGGAGGAGGAGAUCGUGCUGGGGGACUACGACGGCGAGGAGCACAAGGUGUGCUACUUCCUCCUCUGCGCGUCGCCCCAGGACGGCGGCAAGAGCGAGAGGGAUCUGGCGGUGGUGGGUAAGUAUUGGGGACCUGGGAACAUAGUGUACUCGGCGGACUUGCAGUUCCUGCAAUCCCUCCAGACGGCGCUCGAGUCUGGGUCGGUGUCUGCUAGGGUGGCGACGCUGGCGUUGGAGAUCACCCAGAUCAGGUGGAAGUCCAGGAAGGAGGUCAUGGCCUGGCUCACCUCGCUCGUCGCAGGUACUAAGUGCUCCUUUUUUCAUGCCCUAGUGGUGAAUUUUUUUGGUGGUUUUUGCACCAUACAUGAUUAAGCUAACAGAUCAGGCCACUAGAAUUUUCACCAUGCAUCUCUAACGACCGAUAUGAAUGUUUGGUCAGUGUUUAGUAGGGGUUUACGUCUCGAACACAAGAUCCGAUCUUCUUUUUUCUUGUGUUUCUAAUGUUUGGAUCUGAAUGUUUAGGAGCUUUUUGGCGUUAAUACACACGCUGCUCCUAUGUCCAGCCAGAUCAGUUUCUACUCAUGUUUCGUCACGUUUUUGUUCGGUGCCAAAGAUUCGGUACAAGGGGAUGAUAUCCAUGACCAUCUUGUAGUGCCCUCCUUCUAUCCCCUUCCUUUAUUAGCAAUACUUUGGGAUAUCUUUUGUCUAAUCUAAUAGAUCUACUCCUUUUUGUCAAGACGACAAGUAAUUUAUUGUUAGAUAUCUUUUGUCUAAUCUUAUAGAUCUACUCCUUUUCUCAUGCAUCUCCCUAUAUGUGUUCUAUCUUGGCUUGUUUAAUUCAUGAUGUAUGUGUUUGUUAAUUUGCUAGUUCUGGUUUAUGCUUUUAUUUCCUUUUGUGUUUGGUUUAUUUUUUUAGAUUAGUGUUUGGUUAACUUAUGUGUUUCCUCUUGUGUUGGUCUUGUGAGGCCAAUAUGAUGUUGAUAGAAAUCACCUAACUUGCCUUCCAUUGUUGUCGUCUGUAGAUCCCCCAUAUGGAGCCUUUGGAUUGACUUGUCCCGACCACCAUGAUGGUGCAUCUAAGGUACAUACGAUCUCAAGCGUCUUCCUGAGAAAUGCUUCCUCCCAACGAAAUGAAUGUCUGUUGUUCAUCCAGGAUACCUCCUCAACACUCUCUGCUGCCGGGGAAAAUAAAGAAGGGUUCACAUGGAUAUGCAAAUUGCCCAAUCUUGAUCAAUGUCGCAAGCACUACAAAUCCUUUUGCCGAGAGUGAAUGAGAAUUUCGGUACGUGUUCAUCGACGGUCCCCUUGUUUUCUUGAUUUGUUUUCACAUACAGACGGAUCUAAAUAUCUUGGUUUACAUCUAUUAUUAAUUGUGUCGCGCACUAUAUGUCUUUGUAGGUUCAUGAUUUUGUGUUCAUCAAGAGUGGAGGGAGAGAGAACCAUGUUGCCUAUGUGGAAGACAUGUACGAAGAUGGCGGUGCCAAGAACAUGGUGCUGGUGCGAUGGUUUGAGGGACCCGACGGUGAGCACGGUGUUGCAUUGCCCCCAGAUCUUUAUUGCAGGGAGAUCUUCUUUGGAUACGGGCUGCAAGAUCUGAGGGUUGAAUUUGUGGAGGGGGUGGCCGCGGUCCUGAAUCCACAACACUUCGAGAUGUUCAAGAAAAUAAGUGGAGGGUGCAGUAGCUUGCAGCCCUAUGUAUGCCAUCGGUGGAUCGAUGGUGACACUUUCGGGCCCUUUGACAUCACGCAGCUACAAGGAUAUGAAAAUCAGGAGAUAGUAAAGGCAAUUGUUGCCGCACCCUCGUCGGCGGUGGUGCAGGGCAAGCCACCUGAUAACAAAGGCAAAGCUGCCAUUACUGGUCUGGCCGCCGAGAACCAUGCUGGUUCUUCCAGCGCUGUUACCGGUGACAAAACCAUGCAUAAGCAGAAUCAGAAGCCCCCUCCAUGCAGCCCAACUCCUUCCAGCGCUGUUAUCGGUGACAAAACCAUGGAGAAGCAGAAGCCCCCUGCAUGCAGCACAACUCCUUCCAGUUCCAGCUCUGAUCAGUGACAAAACCAUGGAGAAGCAGAAGCCCCCUCCAUGCACUGUUACCAGUGACAACAAAACCAUGGAGAAGCAGAAGGAGAUGCCCCCUCCAUGCAGCGCAACUCCACACAGCGCCACCAAUGGCCAGACCAUCGAAUGCAGUGUCGUUCCCUGUAGCGUGGUGAACUGUCAGACCACCGCGCAUAAUCAGCCGCCCCCAAGUGGUACUGGUACUGGUACGUGUAAUGCAGCAGCCAAUGAUGCGUCGACCAUGGUGAACCCUGAGAAGAUAUUCCAGCCCGGCUGCCGUCUUGAAGCCAUGUGCCAAGAUAGCAGCGUCAGGGGUUGUUGGUUCAAAUGUGUGGUAGUCAGUAGGAGGGAGAAAGAUAACAAGGUCAGGGUGCGGUAUCAAGACCUUCUGAAUUCCAAGGGCAGGGGACAACUCAAGGUUGGCCCUUCCUCUUCUUUCUUUGGUAUCCCGCAUGUGUUGAUGAUGAUGAUGAUGUAUGUACUCAACAUGAGUUUUCUUGUUUUGCAGGAAUGGCUCAAUGUUGCAAGAAUUGCGGAACCUGACCACUUGGGCAUACGCCUUACUAAAAGGCCCAUGCUUCGCCCACACCUCCCAAGACACUAUAGGAAGAUCGAGUCUCCGGUGGCUGUUGGGGUCAUCGUCGAUGCGCGGCUGAAUGGCGGAUGGUGGGAGGGGAUCGUGCUGCAGCAGGAGACUGCUGGCCACGUCCAAGUUUAUCUCCAAGGUGAACUGCCUGCCUACUCUCUCCAUCACCUAGCUAGCAGUUAAUAGAAGUAUAUAUUCGGUUGGUACUUAGAACACUGGACUGGAGCUCUUCCUGAUGCAUUGCAUGUUUGCCAAAAUUUCCAGGGGAGGGGAGACUUGUGAAGCUCCGAGUGGAGUGUCUGCGAAAGUCAUUUGAGUGGCAUGAGGAGCAAUGGAUGCCUCUAGAUGCAAGAAAGGAUGUUGCAGCCAAGAUAACCCUUGACCUGAAGAAGCAGCAGGGCGUCCAGCAAUCUGCAAUGAAGAAGGGUGGUGAGAGCUCUUCGAAACAGAAGGCUCAGAAGAUGGGUGAGCAGUCUAGCCAGACGGCGGUCGCUGCAGCCGCAGAGCUGGCCGCGCCAACCGCAGGACUGGUGCAGCCUCUGGAGGAAGGUGACGAUGAACCUGCAAACUCUGCUCCUCCACUGAAGAGGUUCCUGGCUCAGGGCUACUCUUUCGAGGAAAAAAGGCUGGAGGACCAGGCCAAAAAGAUCAAGGGUCUUGCUGAUGAAGCUGCAAAACCAGCCGCGGCGGAGGGAGAUUGCAUGUCCCACGGCGGCAGCUCAGCUGAUACUACAAACUUUGACGACCUGAAUGGCGCUGAACGCAAGGGCAAGGCUAGAAAAUCUUCUGGCGCAAAGAAAAUGGGGUCUUCGGAGGGCAGCAGCCAGGGAAGCACCAGUGGCUCUGCCUCCAGUGGAGGCGCUGCGCCGGUGAAUCCAGUGCCCAUGGAAGAGAUGUGCGUGACCAAUGGCGAGGCUCCUGUCGUCGCCGUGGACGAAACGGAGGUGAUCGACCUGACCAUGGAUGACUGAAGCUGGUGGCAGGAUAUGAUGAAGUCUGGCCUCAACUUUCCAUUCAUCAACCGCCGUCUUCUCAAACAUUUCGCGCAUUCGCCUAUCGGGGUGUGCUCGAUCUUUAUUACCAUUCUAGACUGAGAGUUGUCUGUGCUUUCUGAACUUCAAAUAAAAGGAGACGUUCGUUGUCUGUGCUUUCUGAACUUCAAAUAAAAGGAGACAUUCGUUGUCUGUUUUGCUCCUCAUGUUUGGUGUCUGUCUACUUGUCAGAAAUUCCUUUUUUUUUCUAUCUUCCUGGAAUACACCAAGCAGUGUAUCAUCAUGCAUUCAAAGGAGAAAGCCAGGCAGGUUGUUGGCUUGGUGGUUCAGCCCCCCAAACUGGCCCAGGAAUCUGAUCCUGCCCAAACAUGCUGCGGGUUGGGAGCAGUUCUCAC
rnacentral:lncRNA from 1 species